AAUUUUUAUUUGAUAUGUUAUAGAGAGCUCAUUUAUUAAAUGAGCAGACUGCCAUUGGACAUUCUAGCCUGGUCUGGAGAGACUAAACUGCUCCUACAAAAGUGGCAGCUGCAUGGCAUAUCACAAGCCCAUGUGUACUACUGAGGAUGAUAAGGUAGGUUCUUACUUUGUCCCCACACUGCAGAAUGUUCUGCAACUCCCCUUGGGUUCUUUGGUCACAAAUGGCAGCUUAUACCUAGCAAAGGGAAAAUCAUCAUCAGGUUUUAGGAAUUGCUCUUCUUUUUCUCUGAAGGUUCUCAGACAAAUCCCUCUGCCUACUGAUACUUUAUUUUCACAAACAUCUGAGAAAGUUUGUAUUAAAUGUGAAUUUUAAUUUGUAUUGAUGUAGAUGUACAGUGAACUGAAAAUGGUAUUAAACUGAAGCAGGUAUGUAGAGCUACCUUAAGAGCUUCCAUUGACAAAGGAUCCUUUCCCCUUUUUGUUUGGAAAUGUACAAUGUAUUUUAAAACAUUUAAUUAAAGUAAUGUUUUCUGUAUUUUUAGUUAUCUAUUUUUGCUGGAGGUUUGCCUUUUGUUUUAUUUUCCUUUUCUGCAACUACUGCUGAAUGUAACCUGUUUAUGAAUCUUCAAAGCAUUCUUUUAUCAUUUCGGAGGUACUUCCUUUUUUAAAGCCUUUUUAGUAGUUAAAUAAUUUUUCCAUAGGUUGUUACUGCCAAGAAUAACUUUUUCAAAUAUCACAUGAUUAUUUGUUAGACAAGGUCACAUUCAGACACCAAAAAGUGUGGAUAGGAAAGUACAAAUAUCAAGAGGUAGAUUUUAUUGGUAAGAAAGCUGAUAUUUCAUUCUAGCUAUUUGGUGAAUGGAUUCUGUCUCCCGUAUCUCUCUCUGUUUCUCUCGCCCCUCCCUCUGAAACACUUAAAAUGUAUUCCUCUGUUUUUUGUAUUGGCAAAAACAUGACUGGAAUACAGAAGUCUCAUAGCACAAUAGUUUUUAUGGUAACCCCCAAUUUAGCUUAAACUAUAUAACGAUGUCAAGUAUAGUAAGUAUAAUAGUAAUGAUAUUUAAGAAAAGAAUGACUUUAAUUCAGUAGUUACCAUCUCAAAUAACUAAGGUUGGCUUCAGGGAUCUGACACUGGUGGAAGAUGUCCUUUCUUUCCUCCCUCCUUCAAGUCUACAUAGUAAAGAAUAGUUUUCCUCUCCUAGCAUUGACUUCUUUUCCAUCUCUUUAAAAAUAAUUAAUAAUAUAUUUAAUUUAGCUCACUAUUCCCAAAGUAUUAACAUUUCAAUAUAUGAUCAGUAUAAAAACUAUUAGCGAGAUACUUUACAUUCUUUCCCCCCCCCACUAUACUAAAUCUAAUUUGUGUUUUAUUUAUACUUUAAGCCCAUCUCAACUUGGACCACCCACACUUCACAGGUCCAAUAGCCACAUGUGGCUAAUGGCUACCAUAUUUAAGAGCUCUCGUUUAUAUAUAUUUUAGAGCAGUUCUAGAAUAGCCUUACUUUAUAACUAGUUUAGCCCUAAAAGUCUGGCACUUCCUGGGUCUGUUUCAUGGGGUGUUUUCAUUCUGUUGGAACUUUAACACCUCCCAUUCCUGUGUUAGCUCUUGAGAAUUGUUCUGCUUAUAGCCCUCAGUAGUUUUCCCCCCUGUAAUUGUUUUCUUCCAGGGUCUUAAGAGUCUUACUGCCUCAUGUCCACAUAGUAUUUAGUAAGAGUCUCCAGAGAACUAAUGUAUAGAUCUGGAGCGAUUUUUCUUUCUUUUUUAUUAGUAUGUUUUAUAUUUUUAAAAACGUAUUUUUAUCAAUACAUUAUAGUUACAUAUAAUAGUGGAAUUUGUUAUGCCAUAUUCAUACAUUAGUGCAUUUUAACCAUACAAAAAAUUUCAUUGUGGCAUAUUUAUACAGGCAAAUAACAUUACCUUGAUCAUACCUCCCAUUUCCCUCUUAUUCUCCCCUCCCUCUUCUCCCCCACCCCCUUACUUACCUCUAAUCAUCUCCCUGCUACUUUCAUCUUUUUCUCCUCCCUCCAUUCCACACUUCAGGGAAAACAUGAGAAACUUUCCCCUCUGAGUCUGGCUUUUUUCAUUUAGCAUAAUAAUCUCCAGUUCUAUUUUCUUACAAAUGACAUGAUUUCAUUCUUUAUGGCUGAAUAAUACCUGGAGCUGUUUUCUGCAUAGUGCCCUUCCUUCUAGUACUCUGCAUUGCAAAGUCCAGCAGCUACAACCUCCUCUGCUCUCAUCUCUGUCUUUCAUUUUAGCAAGAUGACUGUGCUUUGCUUAGGGCCCCACCUGGACUACCAUCUAAAAAGUGCCUUCAGAUACAAAGUCUGAGUGAUCAUAGGACUCUCCUCAUUCAUUUCUCUUCUCUAGGGCUCAAAGUUGGUGCUGCCUUGUCCAGCUUUCUAUCUGUAGAUAGCAGGAGGGCAAGACUAGGACUGGUUAUUCUUCACAGCUAUUAGAUGAACUCCCAUUUGCAAGGCAAAAUUGACUUUAAGAACAUCUCGUACCCACUCUGAUGAGUUCCAACCAAGAACUCUGGGUUCUUUUAGGAGGAGGAGGAAGUUUGAGUUCAGUGGUGUGACUCUUCUCUUGGCUCCACCCAGGAGUCCCAAGCAUGAUAGCUUCCAUAUCAAUAAUCACAUCUGUGUUCCUGAAUUGAAGUGGCUCCUUGGUUCAAGUCACCCCUAUUCUGGUGAACCUGGUCCAAUUUGUGGUGGGCAUCCUGGGUAUGAGCCGCAGAAAAAAGGGUAUUUGCAGAAGGAGGUCAUAGCUCACAUUAUGGCCUUGCAUACUCAAACAUAUUGAUGUUCUUCAUUGGCAUGCCCAUAGAAUUUUCCCAUCUCUGAUUUGAUCAGACAUUUUGUAGGUUUUGAAUCGUCAGUUUCUGCAAAAUGUCUAGAUAAUGCACAAGAUGAAGGCAAUUUUUUCCUCAGCACUACACAAAAAAAGAAUUUGUUUCCAUAUUAAUUCCUAGAUGAUAAUUUGUCUGGAUUUAGAGUUCUACACUAGGCUUCUGGAAAUGUAGCUUGGUAGAAGAGCACUUGCUUAGCAUGCUCCAACCAAGACCCUGGGUUCAAUUCCCAGACCAAAAAAAAAAAAAAAAAAGAAAAAUAGAAAAGAAAUAAUGGUGGGGUUUUUUCUUUCUUUGUUUCUUUCUUUCUUUUUCUUUUUUUUCUUUCCUUCUUUCUUUCUUUUUUUUGAGAUACAGUCUCACUAAAUUGCAGAGGCUGGUCUCAAACUCAGCAUCCUCCUGCAUGAGCCUCCUGAGUAGCUGGGAUUUCAAGUGUAUACAACAAUGCCUGGCUUGAAGUUCUUUUUAGAAUUGCUUUGCUUGCUUAAUUUUAACUGCAGUGAUUUCAUGCCAGUUUUGUAGAUUGUCUUUCCUCAUGUGAUUUCUUUCAUUUACUUUUAAUUUGGUUUGUAGAUUGAACUUAAAUGACAGAUUGUUUUUCUAUUUCUCUGCACUGGUUUUUCUCCCUGGCUAGUAGUUUUGUGAGUUCUUAAACUAGAUCUUCUAGAGUCUCCAGCUCUGAGCCAGGAUUAAUGGAUCUUGGGGCUCAUGCCUCUUGGUGAUAUCGGGGCUAUAGCAGAUUCACUCCUGCAUUUGGGGGCAGUUUGGCUCAGCUACUUACCAUGGGGUUGAUCCUAGGUCUUCUGAGCUCCUCAGGACACACUUAAUAGAUGUCAUAGUUCCAUCAAGCAUUUUGUAGUAGCUUUGUUUUAACUGACUUUUUUUUUUUUUUUUUGGUAUGAGGGAUGGAACCCAGGGAUCCACCUCUGUUACGUAGUAUUUUCACUGAGCUACACCCAGCCCAGGCCCAGAUAUUGAGAAGGAAGCCUGGUUCCUAUUUUUGGCCUCAGGUGGGGCACAUCUGUUUUCCACUAAAUCUGAGAUCAGGCUCGCUUUGCUCUCAGGUACUGACCCAGUGAGACUAUGGCUUGUGCCCAAGUCAUCAUCUCUCUCAUUCUUAUAGUGAGAAAGGAUUUAUUCCAUUAAAAAAAAAUAAAAGGCUACUUGUCAAAAUAAUAGUGACAAAGGACCUGCAAUCAUUCCUGACCUGACUGUACAUCACAACAUCCAGAAGAGGUAACUUCACUUCUAGCCAUUUUUAUUGAACUGUCUGGGUAAUAAGCAGACUUGAAUCAAUGGCUAUGGUGGAGGGAAUGGGCUAUGCUAAUUGUCUUAAUCCACAGCCCCAUUCUUGGAAAGCCUAGGGUAGGAUCAUUUUUCCUUGAGGUCAUAAGAUGUAGGAGGGAAGAAAACUUUUGUUAAGAGGGUGAAAGGCAGUUCUGGGUGAGAACACGAGGAUGUUUUUGGGUACCCAACGCAACCUAACUUAAACAAUAGAAAAUUGUAUUACAUCAUAUGACGAGCUAACCAAAGAUCUGGCUCACUGAUAUGUCGAUGCCUGCUGUGCCAGCUCACAAGAGCCAAUUGUUACAUAUUUGGGAAUUCUGAAAGCCAGUUGUUAAACUGUUGGUAGCUAGAUAUUGCCAGGGUGGGUGUAUUUAUACUACAGAAGUUGGCAAAGACUACAAAUGAGGCAUUCUAGCUUCUUCAGUAUUGGAACACCAUUAGACAGCAGACAAGGUUAAUUAUUUCAGUGACUCAAUGCUAUUAGGAACACAAAAUCUUUUCCUGGCUCUUCAAUUGGUAGCCACACCACUGGUUUUAGACCAGGCCUCGUUUCCUGCAAGGUCACAGAAUGGCAACAAGAUUUCCUUAUUCAUAUUCCAUAGCAAAGAAAGAAAAUAUUUCAGAUGUAGACUGAAACAUUUUGGUAUGACUGAUCCAGCUUUCAUCCUUUGCCUACCCGUGUUGCCUGCCAUAUGCUGAUUGGCCUAGGCAAAUUAGGAUCCACCUCUGGAGCAGGGGACAGGAUUAAUAUCUAAGUUUUUAUGAGUUAUGAGAAAAGGCAGAUCAAAUUUGAAAUUCUUUUAGGAAAAUAAAAGGAUAAGAUGAAUGCUGGAUAAUGUCCCUGUAGAAGGAAACCAACAAUAUCCUCUAAGCAGAUUGUCCAUGUUCCACAGCAAGUGGAGUAUGUGUUUUUUAUAGAAAAACCAUGGAUCCUGGAACAGUAAGAAUUUAGUUGUCAUUGGUCCUACCACCUCUGCCUAUCCUUCUACCCCCAGCUUUGGUAGCCUGAGGACAGACACCUGUAGGCAGAGAUGUGGGAGGCCAUGUGCCACAUUUGUUAGCAGGUGAUCACCAGAUGAUCUAAAGAUACCAAUAGUGUCUACUACAGAGAGCAGGAUGCUGAGAUGCCCAGAUUAGAAGGACUAAGCUGUCUCAUGGGAGAACUCACGCUGUGUUUAAAGGUCCUGGGUGGUUGGGUUUGAUUUAGUAAGAACAUCUUGAUUGGGGAACAGGAGAAUGCAUUUUGAAUACAGAUUAACAUCUAUUGCUCAAAUCUCUUGCCAGCUCCAGCCUUGGAUGAAUACCUGGACCCUAGGCAAAGAGAAGACAAUAAAGUUAAAAGAACCAUUUGACUAGGCUCUGUAAAACUCUGGUCCAUCCUGGUGUAUGAAGGCAGGUUUAUCUGAUCCACCCCUCCUUUUCUUUCCUUCUUUUUUCUACCUUCCAUAACACACACUGACUGCCCAAACUACCAUCACACUCCGAUGCAAUGAAGCCUCCAUUCUAGUCAGAGGCCAAGCCCUGUGGGGCCUGGUGAAGCAGUGGGGAAGGACCUCCACCCCUGGUAGAGCGAUGAAGGAACCUCCCGGAGCCGCUGGAAGACCCCCAAAGACUCACACACCACACACACACACACACACACACACACACACACACACACACCAGGCCACACUUCAGUCGGAAAAUAUUUAUCAUCAGUAAAAUGAUGGCCAACCUCUGUCUUUCUUCCCCUUUUUAUUCUUCUCUUUUCCUCCAUCCCAUGCUUUUGCCUGGUCCUUUGCCUUCUAUCUGUCACAUUUUCCUGUGAUGGAAGCCAUGGUGGCAGGAGUGUGAAUAUCCCUACCUUUCACAUCCAAACUGUCACCAGGUCCUGUGGAUUCGACUUCCUCAAUACUCUUGACUCCAUCUUCCUAUUUCAGCACACUCCCUGCCCCCACCUUCUUCCUGGCUAUCCUAUCUUGGAUUAUUGUAAGAUUUAGCUUCUUAACUGGGUUUCCUGCAUUCACUCUCACCCUCCAAUUCAUACUGCAAAAACAGACACCGUGAUUUUGCCAAAAUGGCAAAACUGGUUGUAUUACUUGCCGGCUUGAAAUCCUCCCCUGGCUUCCUACUGCCUUAGAAUAGAGGCUACCCCUGGUGCACAAGGCCUGGUAAGACCCAGUGUCCAUAGCUCUCUCUUUAGCCUCCUUUGCCAACACCAACCUUCCAGACCAGUGCCCCCUGCUAGAUCAAACCUCUCUGUUCUUUGAAGCUGUUCUUCCUUGUCUGUGACCUUUGGCUUUCCUGCCCUUUCUCACCACCUCCCGUUUUGCCUGGCUAUGUCCAAUUUAUCCCUCUGGUCUCAGCUUAAAUGUCACUUCCUGUGGAAUUCCUACCCUGUGCCAUCUAAGCCAGACACUGAUAUUUGUUCACACAUUUUUGUAGAUGGUUGUUUAUCUUCCCUUUGCCAGUCCACAAGCCACCUGUGGGCAGAAAUCAUGAUUAGAGUAGGCAUUCAAUUGAUAUUUCUUGAAUGAAUCAGUUUAUGAGGAAAUACGUGCAGGCGGCAGUCAUUUCUGUUGCAUUGUGACUGGAUUUGGUAGGGAAGUUAUAGAGAGUGUUAGUGAGGCUGAUCUUCUUAAAGAACGAAUAAGUUAUCCAUUUAGUGCAAUAUAGGUAUUAUAUUAAUUUAAUACAUUUAAUCAUCAUGAAGGAUCACACAUAGCCAAGGUUGUUUGAGAUUCCCUGCUCCGCACACUGUGUCCUCCAAGCUGGAUUUCCUACUGCUUCCUUGAGGUGCCAUCUGUCUUGUUUUUCACACCAUUACUUACAGCUCACAACUUUGUUCUGCAUAAUCUGCUCUCUGUGCUCUCCUGCUCUAAAAAAAAAAAAAAGCCAAAUCCCACCCCUCCUCAAAGGCCCAGCGAAAGCACUGGAUUGCCAGGAGGCUGCCACCAACUCUGAAGUCAUCUGUGCCUGUCCUUGCAUCCUCCCUGGCAUUCAUGCAGGCACUCCUGUGUUAUCUGACUGGUGGCAUAUAUGCAGAUAUUUUGUCCCCCACCCCUCCAUGUACACUGGAAGGUUCUACAGGGUGGAAAAUAAAUGGUUAGAAGGGCCAGCUCUGAAGACAGUGCAUUUGCAUCUCUGCCAUUCCUAGAUCUUGCCAUCUUGUUUCAAGUCACUUAUCCUCUCUGGGACUGUCCUCCACCUCUAGAAGAGAGAUAGUAACAUAGUUCUUAUCAUGUAGUGCUUCUCUGAGGAUUAAAUGAGACAUUUUACCUAGAGCAUGUGGAGUGGUAUCCGGCAAGUGCUAAACAUAGAUCUGUAGUUACAGUAAUGUCCAGGGUUCUUCAGGCUCAGCCCGGCACAGGACUGGGGCAAUACUGACAUUGAUGCGUGAAGUUGGUUGGUGGAGGAGACCCCACAAAGGGCAAACAGUGUUUGAAUACACAGCACAUUGCAUACAGAGCCUUGAACCUGACUUUAUCAGCUACAGAACUCCUCUGCUUUCCUGCUCUAGAAGUACAAACAAGUCUGUAGUAAAAGGAAGGGAAAUGGCCACAUGGGGGCAAUUGGAGAUCAUAAAAAAUGAAAUGGUCACAUGGAGAGGCUACAACUCCCCUCCUUUCAAUAUUUUCUUUCACUUUCUUCCUGAUUAUGGUGAUGAUGGUGGAGAUGAUGAUGGUGGUGGUGAUGUUGUUGAUGGAGCAGAGAUGGAACAGAAGGGUCACCACUGCAGGAAAUGUGUUUUAACUGCCCAGAGAAAUGACACUGAAGAGAGAGCAGCAAGAAAGCAUUUCUUGUCCUACUUGGCACCAUCCCCCCACCCAUUGCUACUCUGUCAGAACUGUAUGGUGCAAACUUUGGAUUUAUUUUCCUAAAUCUGGAACCUGAAACUACCUUCUCCUCCAUCUAUCUCCAAUGAAAUUUAUUUCAUUUGAAAGCCUCUCCCCAGAGUCUAACAAACUAAACAGCCCAGGAACUUGACCUUAAUAAGAAUGCCUCUCCUCUGCACCUGUGUGGAGACCCCUGUUGACCUGGAAUUCCCUUCUCUCCACCCAUGAAGGUCAAACAUCAUCCCUCUUUCAAGGCUUAGUUGAAGGCUACACCUUUGGGAGGACAUCCCUGGUGUCUCAGGUUUAAGACAUCUUUCUUACUUUAGCAUUCUUGAAACUCAGGCCCAAUUUAUUUAUAGGGGCAAAUAAUGGUUCCUUCAUUUUUUUACAGUAUGGGUUAAAGAUGAUCGUGCACAGCACCUAGCCAUUUCUGGCUCACUUAAAAAUGUAGAUAUAAUUGUAAUUACCACUUUUAUCAUAAUUAACUACAUACAGAGAUCAUCACCCUAAAAGCAAAAGGGCAGGAUUUAGGUCUGAUUAAUCUUGCAUGUUUAGGCAUUCAAGAAAAAUCUGCUGCACAAAUGACCACACAUAAGGAGCCAAUCAAUCCCCUAAUUUAUUCCUGAAACAAUACAAGGGACAAAUGAUUUAUUGUCUGUGCAUGUUUGGUGAUGAUGAAUUUGCAGUAUAACCCAGUGGAUACAUGAUUGUUUUCCUUCUGAGUAUUAAACAAUUCAUCAUCAUCUAGAAAAAUUAAGAGAGAGGUAGGGAGAGAGAGAGAGUUGAAGAAAGAAGAUCAUAUUACACAUGUUUAGAGUCUUUUUUUAAAAAAUAUAUUUUAGUUGUAAAUGGACCUUCAUUUUAUUUAUAUGUGGUGCUGAGACUCAAACCCAGGGCCUCACAUAUGCUAGGCAAGUGCUCUAAAAGUGAGUCACAACCACAGCCCCUAUAACCUGUUUUUUACUGAGUGAUGAGUCACAGAUGAUUAUAUAUAUAUAUAUAUAUAUAUAUAUAUAUAUAUAUAUAUAUAUAUUUCUUUUAAAACACAAUAUUCAUUUUUUUUGGUACUAGGGAUUCAGUCCAAGGGUGCUCUAAACUAAGCCACAUUUCCAGCCCUUUUAAUUUUUUAUUUUGAGACAGGAUCUUGCUAAGUUGCUUAGGACCUUGCUAAAUUGCUGAGGGUGGCCUUGAACUCUUGCCUCAGGAUCCUCUUGCCUCAGCCUCCUGUCCUGCUGGGAUUAUAGGUAUGCACCACUGUGCCAGGCUCUCAAUAUCCUUCUUGUAUGCAUAAUAUUUUGCUGGUUUAAGAUAUUAUAAUUUAUUAAAUUACAAAUGUUAUCAAAAUUUUGCUAACAUGUAAACACCAUACAGAAAUGUGAAGAUAUUUAACCACUAUGGACCAUUAACACUUUAGUUUCUACUUGACUCUUUCACCUUAAGCUAAAGACUUUGCUGAAAUUGGGUAUAAGUCGGCUAGGUCUGUAGGCUCAGGUGACCACAGCAUGCAGGUAAUUCAGAAAAGGUAGACUAUGGACAAAGAAUGAAGAAGAACUGGUUGAUGCUGGAAAAGGAUAUUGGUAGCUAUAUCUGAAUCAGUCCGGUUUGGGGCUUUGGGUUUCUCUAACUCUCAGCCCUCAGUACAGCGUAAGUCAUGUUCCAGGGUGCAGGUUCUGGAGUUGCCUCUAGUAGAAUAAGUUUGUCUUCAUGUUGCUCAGUGCUAGGCAAACAGCCAACUGAUAAAUUAUGGGGUUGAAUAAAAUACAGGGAAAAUAGUGAAAGAAGGGGGAAAUUAACCUUAUUGAGUGCUUGGUAUGUGUCAUUCUAUACACUCAUACAGAAAAGUAUUUGACAAAAUUCAGUAUCUAUUCAUGAUAAAAAUUUUCACAGAACUAGGAACAGAAUGGAAUUUCCUCAACCCGGUGAAGGACAUCUAGGAAAAAGCUAUGACUAACAACUACUCAUUCUCCUUCCAAUGGGCCUGUUAUCUCCACUCUCCAGAUGAAGGAGGUGAGGGAGGAAAAGGUCAAUUCACUCUCACCUAAAGUUACACAACUGGAAAGAGUCAGAAAAUUCUAAAAACUCCGCAGGAUGUUAUCAAGAAAAACUGUAAUCUCUCAAGGUCUUGCUAGGACUCUAAAAUCAUGUCUAACUUCUCCCUGUCUUGAGGGCUGGGUUUGAUUAAUAGGGCUUAAGCAGCAACUUGGAGAUGCCUGACACAAAAUGAUGUCAGAUUCACUCUGGAGAUGAAGCUGGCUGUUCAUCAGACAUGGUUUGGGAGAUGUGAUUUAAAGGGAGUAAUGAGGUGAUUGCAUUAGCAUUAGCCUCAUUUAUAUGUUCACUCAGUUACUCCCUCAUUCCAUCAAUGCUCACUGCACUGUGCAGUGAGCAGGUACUGUGCUAGGUCUGGCCUAUUUUCAUGGCCACCUCCAGUUAAGAGGCAGACAUUAAUGGAAUAAGGACAUGGUCAAAUGCCCCUAGAAGAGAAGGCGAAGGGGAGCCCACCCAGAGGAUUCCACCUCAUGUGUGAAGUCAGGAAAGCCUCCAGUGUCUGAGAUCUCAAGCAAGGAAAAGUGUGCAGCAGGAGCAAGUGAGAGGGGAGACUGAAGGAAGCGCAGAGGGACCACCAAGAGCCUGGAACCCAGCAGGGAGUGGUCCUCACUGGCUGUACUGUGUGGCAGCAGAGGAAGUGCGAUGAUCAUUUGCAGAACUCAAGGCUCAGCAGUCAUUGACAAUUUGCACAGAUGCCUAGGAUGUCUGAGCAGCUUUUUGUUAUUUGUUAUUUGACUGAUUGUUUCCUGCCUGCCUGGCCACACAGCACUGGCUGUGUUUGGGAUUCUCUGGGUAGGUCUGUGAUCUUCAGUGAAGAGUCUGCCAGUGUGAACCACUUUGAUGUUUUCUGAGCGAAUCUGCAGGGGUAAGUUUGCUGGAGUCCAAGGAGAGAAUGAGUUUUCUUAUCUCUGAACUCCAGGGAGUUUGACAACAGGCUGUGCUUUGCUUGUAGAUGGCCACAAGAUGGCAGUGUCUCUCCAGUACCUGGUUAGCGCCUGUUUGUGUUAGACAUCCCUAUGAAAUACACGCAAGUCAUUUCAUAUUUUGAGCCAUGAUUUUUUUCCAGCGGAGGAGCAGAUUAGUAGAUCAAGGAUUGAAUCUGGAAUAAAUUAAGUCCACGUUCAAAUUUUAAUUCCUUCAUGAAUUAAUCUUAUAACCUUGGAUUUAACAUCUCUAAUUCCCCACUGCCUCCUUUAAUCUUUAGAAUGAAGAUACACCUCAUCAGCCCUUCAUAAAAUUAUGAGGCAAAAAUAGAAACUAUGUGUGCAAGUAUAAUAAAUUAUAAUGCACCAUGACAUUUGUCCUUAAGCUUUAAUAGACAUAAGAAUCACCUGAGCACAUUUCUGAAAUUAAUACUCUUGGGCUGAACUUCCAGACAUGUUUCAGUAAUCUCCUGCUCUGAUUGAGAAUCUGCAUAUUGGUUCAUAUUAGUCUGUAGGUAUCAAGACGUGGGGAAGGCCCUCGGACUACAAUGUGGAAAACCACAUUACACAAAUACCAAUGAUAGAAAUUGUCCUUAGUUUCCCUUAUAAUGGCAUUCAAAUUUUUCUAUUACAAAAUCCCUACUAUUAGAUUAACUAAAGGAAGGCAGAAACCUACAUUUUACUCAUCCUCUUAUAUUCAUAGAAAGUACUUGGAAAUGUUUCUUGGAUGAUGAACAGCUGGCAAUCUGUUGAGCAUCCCCAGCAGUGCCAGACCAUUUAUGGGAAUAUUCAGGAAACAGGACCUAACUGAUUCAAUAGAAUUGCCCUGGAUUUUGCCCUUGAACCCCCAUAGUCUUAUCUUUGCUUCUAAAUGAGGGACCCAAUGUCUUCUGGUAAUGGCUGGAGCACAGGUUUUACUCUUUACUCUGCCCUGAGGAAGUUUAGCAAUGAAAUUCCACAAACCUCCUGAAGUUCUUUGCCGCUGCUGUUACGGACCAGCACUAGCAGGGUUUUCAUGGUCUCCAAGAAAAGACUAAGCCCCUUAUUUCUUCUAGAUGCUUCCUGUGGCACUGUUUGCCUCGAAGACAAAGUUGGUUCCAGGGUAAGUAUUAGCAGGAGAGACCUGCGUGCCCUCUGGCCCUUGGCCCCAUGGCCAGGUUGUAAUUGCUUGGAUGCCAUAUCCCUAGCACCUGGAUGUGGGUGUUCAACUCCCAUCUUAGGUAACAGCAGGCAGAGGCUUUUAGCAAAGCUUUCACUUUCAUAAGCGGCUGGAGAAACUUGCUUCUCUUGGACUGUAGUCAAACUACACUGAUGGAGAAAGGAAGGUAUUUAUAUUGAAUUACAGGACUUUUAAUCUUUCUGAAAAUAUUUAUUGAACAACUAUCAUCAUCAUCAUCAUCAUCAUCAUCAUCAUCAUCAUCAUCAUCAUCAUUUUUGAGCCAGACACCAUUCUAGGACCUUAGCUAAAAUGUUAAUAAAAUAUCUAAAGAGUUUGUCAUCAUGGAGCUGAAUGUCUAGCAUCAGGAGGCAGAUAAACAAUAACUAUAAUGAUGCAUAAAAUAUUUUAUAUUAGAAGGUGAUGAGUGCUGGUAAGUAGAACAGGAGGGGGCAAAGGCAGUGGGAGGGAAAAGCAAGACAUUAUUAACAGGAUGGUCUGGAGAGGCCUCGGUGGGACUGAGCAGAGACUUGAAGAACAGUGAUCCAAAUGGGAGGAAGAACUAGAUAGAGCCCCCGGGGGCCAGAGCAAGCUGUGCACCUGUGAGGGCAGCAAAGAGGUCAGUGUGGCUGCAGCAGUCAGAGGAGGGGAGUGAGAGGUGAUGAAGUCAGGGAGGGAAGAGGAUCCAGACCACAUAAAUCCACUUCUGCCAGGGACAGAGACAUGUUAAAGGCAUCUUUGUAUUCUCAGUGAUUAAUACAACAUUCACAUGUGCCAGAUGCUCAAAUCAUAUGCUUUCAUUAUUGGGCAAAACCUUGGGGGCAGACUGAGUGGAAAAAAAAACAAAACAAAACAUUGGAGGGGUAACCUUCAGGAAAUGGACAGUCCUUUGGGAAAAGAGGGUUUAUGAGAAAUAAGUACUGAUGUGGGUGCAGUUUGAUUGCAGUUUGGAAGGCCUGCAAAGACCAUUAACUGAAUUAGUGGUACCCUGAAUUAGUAAACAAGGGGGGUCCCUCUGCAGCACUUUCUACACUGCAACCCCCUAAGACCUUGUACAGAGCAUACUCUGCCUGAGGGCUUUUCCCAUUGGUCCCUGGCCCCCAGCACUAGACUGACCUAUGUAUCACACCUUACUCAUCCUUUCACUGAGAAAGGACUUUCUUAAGAACUUGGAAUUUGGAAAGUCCCUUUCUUUUCAUCCCCAGCCCCCAUUUGUUUUUAAUUGAGAUGAAAUUCACAUAACAUAAAAAUUAACCAUGUAAAAGCACCCAAUCCAGUGGCCUUCAGUGCUUCACAACAUUGUGCAAUUGCCACUUCUGUUAAGUUCCAGAACAUUUUUUUUGUACCCAUUAAGCAGUCCCUCUCUAUCUCCCCUUCUACCAGAUUCUGGAACUACUGAUCUGAUUUCUGUAUCUAUGGUUUUAACUACUUUUGGAUAUUUCACAUAAUUAGACUGUUAUUCUGUGUAGCCUUGUGUGCCUGGCUUCUUUCUUAGAAGUGCGUUUUUCAGAACUAAAAGCAAUCACAUGAAGGUGCAGAAUUUAAUUACUGGGCAGUCAGAAGAGGAGGACAAUGACAACUAGUUCUUGUCUGACAGCCGUAAUCAAAGGCUUCUCAGGUUUCUUCAGCUUCAGAAGGCGGUGUGAGGAAACAAAAUGCACAUAAUGCUUAUCCGACUUCUAUGACUGUUUGCUUUGGAUAAAGACCCAGGAAAUGGAUGACAUCAGUCAUCGCGGAGCUAUGUCAUUUCAUAGCCUGCCUCACUUUCUGUCUUUCCUGUCAAUAAGAGCAUGCGUUAGGAUACAGAAGCUUACUGCACCAGUUUCCUGUGGGAGGUGAGGGUAAAGAGAGGUUUUAGGUAGUCUUAUUCUUCAGUUUAUGCUGAUUAUCCUCUCAGGACAUGCAUGGAUCUUUUUCCAUCUUAUUUAUUUUUAGUUUUUAGUUUUGGGGGGUACUGGGGAUUGAACUCAGGGGCACUGAACCACUGAGCCACAUUCUCAUCUGUAUUUGUAUUUUAUUUAGAGACAGGGUCUCACUGAAUUGCCUCACUCUUGUUAAGGCUGGCUUUGAACUUGCGAUCCUCCUGCCUCAGCUUCCAGAGCCGCUUGGAUUACAGGCAUGCGCCACUGUGCCCAGCUCAAUUUUAAUUUUACUAGUGCUUCUCAUUCCCAUAUUCUACUUUCAUUACCUUCUGUAAUAAGUAUCAAUUCUUUUUUUUAUUAGUUGCACAUGACAAUACAAUGGUCUUGACAUAUCAUACAUUUGAAUCAAAUAAGUAGCCAUUUUAAUGUACAGCUCUGCAUCCUUGUAAGGGUGGGGAUAUAUCCUGACACAUGCUUGGUUCAUCCUUGUGUGAAUACCCUGGAGUGCACUGGAGAGGGAACAUUUAGCAAAAAUCUGUUUGUUCAGAUUCCUCCUGGCAUCUUGGUCUCCAAGACAAGGAUUUUUUUUUUCUCUGCGUAUAGGGAAUGUAAAGGAAGGGUACCUCUCAAACGAGGGUGCCUUUUUACCUUCAGAGAUAAGGGCAAGGGAACAUCAGAGAGUAAACUUCCCAUGAUCUGCUUCAGGGUAAGAGGACAGAGGAAGGUGAGAGGGACUUUCCUGUUUCUGCUGUUUUGCCAUAUUUUGGGGUAGUGUGUCCUGAAGCCCAUCAAUGGCUACAAGAAUUAUUUUUAAAAGUCCUUUACUAUGUGGAUUAGGUACCUAGAUAUUUCUUUCAUAUUUCCGAUAGAAAUAAUGUGUGACCUAAUUUAAUUUUUUACACAAAUGGAGCACAACUUUUCAUUUCUUUGGUUGUACAUGAGGUAGAUUCACACCAUUCGUGCAAUCAUUCCUGUACACAGGGUAAUAAUAUCUGUCUCAUUCCACCAUUCCCCCCCAUCGUCCCCACCCUCCCCUCUGCUCAAUCCAAAGUUUUUCCAUUCUUCCCUUGUGCUUCCUCCCCCAUUAUGGAUCAGCAUUCACCUAUCAGAGAAAACAUUUGGCCUUUUUUUAAAAAAAAUUUGUGAUCAUUUAAUUAAAGACAGAUUAUUUAAUUUAAAUUAUUUUUGACACAAAAAUCCACUCACCUGCAUGCACAGAAAUUACAGUAUGUCAUGAUGUGCUAAAGGGAACAAAUAACAAAUGAUAAGAAUCAUCACCUCCUGUCUUGGGCCCUUAUAGUCUUAGCACAGGAUGCUGCAUACCAGAUGAGGUGGUAUUCUCCUUCACAUGACCCAUAUAAUGAAUGGGCCCAUUUACAAUCUAUAUAGUAGUAUAAAUAAAAUGUAUUUUCUUUAUUUUUAGCCUAUCAUUAUAAAUAAAAAGUCUAAUAAUUUCUUCCUGCAUCUCGGUAGGUUGCUUUGCACCCUGUGAAGACUGUUGGCCUUGAUAAUAAAAUUCAAAUUCUCAGUGCAAUGUGUGUUAGAUUAGACUACUUAGAGUUACAGAAACCCUCUUCACUGCAACAAGAUUCCCUCACUUCCUCAACUACAAAUCUUUAUUCAGAGUCCUCUAAUUUGCCCAAUAGUAAUAACGCAAUGAAUGCUUUUUUUAUUUUUGUCACAGGGUAUGAAGUCAUUUUAUUGAUUUCAGAGAUAUUGAAACCAUAUUAAAUAAUGUUCUUUUUUAAUAUUUAUUUUUUAGCUGUAGGUGGAUACAGUAUCUUCAUUUUAUUUUUAUAUGGUGCUGAGGAUCGAACCCAGUACCUCAUGCAUACUAGGCGAGCGCUCUACCUCUGAGCCACAACCUCAGCCCCUUUAAAAAUGUUCUUAAUUCAAGCAUUAGUCAUACAUUUCUUUGCAUAUUAUCAUAUUACAGGGUAGAGAAGACAUGCUCUAUAGGGCAAGUCACUGAGAAUUCAGUAAUCUGCCUAUUCAUUACUCUUUAAUAAUCUAUAAACUCUUCUCAAAAUUAUAAAGUUAUGCAGGUUUAUGGGUUUCUUCCUCCCAUAUACCAAUUGCUUAUGUAUUUUCUCUCAUAUUUCCGAUAGAAAUAAUGUGUGAUCUACAGGAAAACAACUCGAGUAGAUAUAAGAUCCAGCUCAGUCCCCCCACCAAAGACAUGCUCACCAUCCUUCUGCCAAAUAUGUUUUCAAUCUUCUGAUAAAUGGGUGCGAAGAGAGCAAAAUUUGAUACAAAGAUAGACAAAUUCUUGCAAUCUUCCUUUUUUUUUCUAGUUUCUUUUUUUUAAAAUUUUAUUGUUGGUUGUUCAAAACAUUACAUAGUUCUUGACAUAUCAUAUUUCACUCUUUGAUUCAAGUGGGUUAUGAACUCCCAUUUUUACCCCGUAUACAGAUUGCAGAAUCACAUCGGUUACACAUCCACUGAUUUACAUAUUGCCAUACUAGUGUCUGUUGUAUUCUGCUGCCUUUCCUAUCCUCUACUAUCCCCCCUCCCCUCCCCUCCCCUCCCAUCUUCUCUCUCUACCCCAUGCAAUCUUCCUUUGGAAUGAAACUAAGUUAAGAAAAGGAUUGUUAAUAACUCUUCGGGUAUCCAUGAUUUUGGCUUUGAAUGCUGUGGUUGAAGAAGGAAAUCUCACACUCCUAACUGAAGUGAUCUACUUUCAAACAGUCAGAAGGAUAAAGCCUUCACUCAGUUCUACCAGGCAUUGGCCAGGAAUUGCGUAUCUGGUUUCCUGAAAACCACACAAGCCACACCUGAUGCUUAGAUUCCUAAACCAGACCUUUAGGUAUAGUCCGCCAAGUGUUCUUGCAGUGUUGAACACACACCUGCUAGCCGUCUUUUUAUUGGGUGUUUCUUUCUCUGACUGAAAAAUCACUUUUUGUCUCUGACUCCACUCCAUCUCCCCCCCUUCCUUUCUAUUUUUCCCCUUCCCUCCAUUCCUUCCUUCUCUCCUUCCUCCUUCAAACCUCCCUUACUUCUUCCUCUUCCUCUUUUCCUUCCUUCUUUCUUUCUUCUUCUCCUUCCCCUUCUCUUUCUUCAUUUAAAAACACAUUUAGAGAUAGACACACACACCUCCCCACAUGGAGAACACAUCAAUGGUUGUGUUUGGCUUCUCCCUAAUCUCAGCUACAAACCCUGUUGAUGACUUCCAAACACUGGUGACUUGCAAUGAGUACCUCAUUCCUUAAAUAAAUGGCCUGUGAUUUAGACCAAACACAAGUGGGCUUUAUGGUCUUAAGGAUACUGUCCUACUUCUCUAGCUAGGCUGGAAUAGGGAUCACAAAUCUGUACUGAGUACCAAAUGCUGAAUCCCACUUAGGUACUGGAGUUAUCAAGAAAGAGCUAGCAUUGUCUUUGCAUUUUGAACUCUCAAGGAUGGGGACACAAACUCAUAAAUUGAUGAGUUUUAGUGCCACCUUUUCCUGGGACAGGAUUCAUGGGGUCUGUUUUGGUUUCUUUUUAGGUUUACUGUCACUAAGGGUAUUUUCUAUUUUGUUUAUAAGUCAUUUCCUGCCUUUAUUUCUUCAAUUUCUUUAAGAUAGUGGCUUUAUAGUCUUUUGUAGAUCUACUAUGGGUCUCUUUCAGGGACAAUUUCUUUUGGUUUAUUUUGUUUUUCUUUGAAUGUGUCAUACUUUUCUGUUUCUCUGUAUGGAAAUUUGAGUUUAAUCAUAUGGCAACUCUGGAAAUCAGAUUCUUCCCCUUGCCUAGGUUUUGAUUCUGUUUUUUGUUUGUUUGUUUGCUUUAUUGUUGCCGACUAUGUCUAUGGCAAGGAUUAGCCUGAGGCAUGAACUUCUCAGGUCUCUUUCAGCUGAGUCAGUUGAUGCACAGGGACUUUUUACUUUCCCUUGUAUAUAUAGUUACUUUUGAAUGAUGCAGUCUUCAGCACCUGGCUACCAAAAGGUGGGGGAAGAGAAAGAUACAGGGAUGCGGGGGGAAUAAAAGGCAUUACUUAUCCCACCCACCAGACAUAGCCACUUAAAAGUGAAGUGUGGAAACCUAAGCUUAAUUUUUUUUCUAUUACUGCUUCAAAAAAUGAUCACAAACGAAGUGGCUUAAAUGGCAAAAAUGUAAUAUUCUACACUUCUGCAGUUUGGAUGUCUGACACAGUUCUAACUGGGCUAAACUCUAUCAGCACGACUUCCCAUAAAUACCAGAAAACAUCGUUUUCCCAGCUGUUUUCAGCCUAUAGUGGUUCCCUACAUUCCUUGGCUAGUGGUCUCAUUCUUCCAUCAUUAAGGCCAUUCACACUGCAUCUCUUUGAUCUAUUUUUCAUGGUAGUGUUUUUUUUGGAGGGAUUGGCUUACUAUGCUUAGCAUGGUAUUCUCCAACUCUGAUAAUUACCUGUAAAUGCCAUAAUUUCAUUCUUCUUUAAAGCUGAGUAAUAUUCCAUUUCAUAUAUAUAAAAUCCAUUCAUCUAUUGAAGGGCAUCUAGGUUGUUUCCUCAGUAUAACUAUUGUGAAUUGACCUGCUAUAAACAUUGAGGUGGCUGUAUUACUGUAGUAUGCUGAUUUUAAGUCCUUUGGGAUAGCUGGUCAAAUGGUGAUUCCAUUCCAAGUUUUCUAGGGAAUCUCCAUACUGCUUUCUAAAAUGGUUGUAUCAGCAAUGAAUCAGCAUACAUUUCCCCCACAUCCUUGCUAACACUUAUUGUUGCUUGAAUUCUUGAUAAUUGCCCUUCAGACUGGAAUGAUAUUUGCAUUUCUCUAAUUGCUAGAGAUGUUGAACAUUUUUUCAUAUAUUUGUUGAUCGAUUGUUUAUCUUCUUCUGUGAAGUGUCUUGUCAGUUCCUUAGCCCAUUUAUUGACAGGGUUAUUUGUUUUUUUGGUGUCAAGUUUUUUGAGUUCUUUAUAUAUGCCAGAGAUUAAUGCUCUAUCUAAUGUGCAUGUGGUAAAGAUGUUCUCCCUUUCUGUUGGCCCUCUCUUCAUGUUAUUGAUUAUUUCUUUUGCUGAGAAAAAGCUUUUUAGUUUGAAUCCAUCCCAUUUAUUGAUUCUUGAUUUUAUUUCUUGCACUUUAGGAGUCUCGUUGAGCAAGUCAGGUCCUAAGCCAACAUGAUGAAGAUUUGGGCCUGAUUUUUCUUCAAACUAGGUGCAGAGUCUCUGGUCUAAUUCCUAGGUCCUUGAUCCACUUUGAGUUAAGUUUUGUGCAGGGUGAAAGAUAGAUGGAGGUUUAAUUUCAUUUUGCUGCAUGUGGAUUUCCAGUUUUCCCAGCACCAUUUGUUGAAGAUGCUAUCUUUUCUCCAAUGUAUGUUUUGGCUCCUUUGUCUAGUAUGAGAUAUUGGUAUUUUGUGGGCUAGUCACUGUGUCCUCUAUUCUGUACCAUUGGUCUACAUGUCUAUUUUGGUGUCAAUAUCAAGCCAUUUUUGUUAUUAUAGCUCUGUAGUAUAGUUUAAGGUCUGGUAUUAUGAUAUCACGUGCUUCACUCUUCUUGCUAAGGAUUGCUUUGGCUAUUCUGGGUCUCUUAUAUUUCCAAAUGAAUUUAAUGAUUGCUUUUUCUAUUUCUAUGAGGAAUAUCAUUGGGAUUUUGAUUGGAAUUACAUUAAAUUUAUAUAAUGCUUUUGAUAGUAUGGUCAAUUUGACAAUAUUAAUUCUGCCUAUCCAAGAACAAAGGAGAUCUUUUCAUCUUCUAAGAUCUUUUAAAUUUUUUUUUCUUUAAUAUUCUGUAAUCUUCAUUAUAGAGGUCUUUCAUCUCUUUUGUUAGGUUGAUUCCCAAGUAUUUUUUUUUUGAGGCUAUUAUAAAUGGGGUAAUUUUUCUAAUUUCUCUUUCAGAGGCUUUAUCAUUGAUGUACAGAAAUGCAUUUGAUUUAUGGAUAUUGAUUUUAUAUCUUGAUACUUUGCUGAAUUCAUUUAUUAGUUCUAGAAGUUUUCUGGUGGAAUGUUUUGGAUUUUCUAAGUAUAGAAUCAUGUCAUCAGCAAAUAAUGAUAGUUUGCAUUCUUCUUUUCCUAUCCAUAUCUCUUUAAUUUCUUUCGUCUCUCUAAUUGCUCUGACUAGAGUUUCAAGAAUUAUGUUAAAUAGAAGUGGUGAAAGAGGGCAUCCCUGUCUUGUUCCAGUUUUUAGAGGGAAUGCUUUCAAUUUUUCUUCAUUUAGAAUGAUGUUGGCCUUGGGCUUAGCAUAGAUAGCUUUUACAAUGUUGAGAUAUGUUCCUGUUAACCCUAGUUUUUGUAGUAAUUUGAACAUGAAGGGGUGCUGUAUUUUGUCAAAUGCCUUUUCUGUAUCUAUUGAGAUGAUCAUAUGAUUCUUAUCUUUUUCUCUAUCAAGGUGAUGAAUUACAUUUAUUGACUUCUGUAUGUUGAAUGAAACUUGCAUCUGGUGCACUAUCUUUUUAAUAUGUUUUUAUAUUCAAUUUGCCAGAAUUUUAUUGAGAAUUGUUGCAUCUAUGUCCAUUGGAGAUAUUGGUCUGAAGUUUUCUUUCCUUGACGGGUCUUUGUAUGGUUUUGGUAUCAAGGUGACUGGCCUCAUAGAAUGAGUUUGGAAGGGUUCCCUCUUUUUCAUAGAAUAAUUUGAGGAGCAUUGGUAUUAGUUCUACUUUGAAGGUCUUGUUGAACUUGGCUGUGAAUCUAUCUGGCCCAGGGCUUUUUUUGGUUGGUAGACUUUUGAUGGCAUCUUCUAUUUCGUUACUUGAAAUUGAUCUGUUUAACCUGUGUAUAUUAUCUGAUUCAGUUUGGGUAGAUCAUAUAACCUAGAAAUUUGCUGAUUUCUUCAAGAUUUUCUAUUUUCUUUGAGUAUAAAUUUUCAAAACUUUCUAAUCAUGUUCUGUGUUUCGGUAGUGUCCAUGUUGAUAUUUCUUUUUUCAUCAUGAAUUUUAGUAAUUUGAGUUUUCUCUCUCCUCCACUUCCUUAGCACGGCUAAAGGUUCAUCAAUUCUAUCUAUUUUUUUUUAAAGAACAAAUUUUUGUUGUCAAUUUUUUCAAUUGUUUCUUUUUUGUCAUUGAUUUCAUCUCCAAUUUUAAUUAUUUCCUGUCUCCUGCUGCUUUUGGUGUUUAUUUAUUCUGCUUUUUCUAGGGCUUUGAGAUGGAAUGUUAGGUCAUUUAUUUGUUGACCUUUUCUUCUUUUAAGGAAUAAACUCAAUGCAAUGGACUUUCCUCUUAGCACUGCCUUCAUAGUGUCCCAGAGAUUUUGAUGAUGUAUGAGUGUUCUCAUUUACCUGUAAGAAUUUUUUAAUCUCUUUUUAGAUGUCUUGUGUAAUCCAUUGUUCAUUCCAUAGCAUAUUAUUUAGUCUCCAGGUAUUGGAGAAGCUUCUAUUUUUAAUUUUAUCAUUGAUUUCUAAUUUCUUUCCAAUAUGAUCUGAUAGAAUGCAGGGUAGUAUCUCUACUUAUCUGUAUUUGCUAAGAGUUGCUUUGUAGCAUAACAUCUGGUCUAUUUUAGAGAAGGAUCCAUGUGUUGCUGAGAAGAAAGUGAAUUCACUUAUUAAUGGAUGAAGUAUUCUACAUAUGUCUGUUAAGUCUAAAUUAUUAAUUGUAUUAUUGAGUUCUAUAGUUUGUUUAGUUUUUGUUUGGGAGACCUAGCCAGUGUUGAGAGAGGUGUGUUAAAGUCACCAGUAUUUUUGUGUUGUGGUCUAUUUGAUUCUUGAAAUUGAGAAGGAUUUAUCUGAUGUAUGUAGAUGCUCCAUUGUUUGGGGCAUAUAUAUUUACAUUUGUUAUGUCUUGCUGAUAUAUGUAUUCCUUAAGCAGUAUGAAAUGUCCUUCUUUAUUUACUCUUUCUGACUAAUUUUGGCUUGAAGUUUACUUUAUUUGAUAUGAGGAUGGAAACCCCUGCUUGCUUCUGCAGUCCAUGUGAGUGGUAUGUUUUUUCUAACCUUUCACCUUCAGUCUGUGAAUGUCUUUUCCUAUGAGAUGAGUCUCUUGAAGGCAGCAUAUUGUUGGUUCUUUUUUUAAAAAUCCAGUCUGACAGUCUAUGUAUUUUUAUUGGUGAGUUUAGGCCAUUAACAUUCAGGGUUAUUAUUGAGACAUGGCUUGUAUUCCCAGUCACCUUGCUUUAUUUUUGGUUUUUAACUUGACUUGGUUUCUCCUAUGAUUGGCUUUUCCUUCAGUGUAGUUUGUCAUUUUGCUGAUUUUCAUUGUUGUUUUUCAUUUCCUCCUUGUGGAAUAUUUUGCUGAGAAUGUUCUAUAGUGCAGGCUUUCUAAUGGUAAAUCCUUUUAACUUUUGUUUAUCAUGGAAGGUUUUUAUUUCAUCAUCAAAUCUAAAGCUUAAUUUUGCUAAACAUAUGAUUCUUGGUUGGCAUCCAUUUUCCUUCAGUGCUUGGUAUAUAUUGUUCCAGGAUCUUCUAGUUUUCAGGGUCUGGGUUGAAAAAUCUGUAUAGGGGCUGGGGAUGUGGCUCAAGCAGUAGCGCGCUUGCCUGGCAUGCGUGCGGCCCGGGUUCGAUCCUCAGCACCACAUACAAACAAAGAUGUUGUGUCCGCCGACAACUAAAAAAAUAAAUAUUAAAAUUCUCUCUCUGAGAAGAGGGGAGGGGAGGGGAGGGGAGGGGGGAUAGUAGAGGAUACAACAGACACUAGUAUGGCAAUAUGUAAAUCAAUGGAUGUGUAACUGAUGUGAUUCUGCAAUCUGUAUACGGGGUAAAAAUGGGAGUUCAUAACCCACUUGAAUCAAAGUGUGAAAUAUGAUAUAUCAAGAACUAUGUAAUGUUUUGAACAACCAACAAUAAAAAUUAAAAAAAAUAAUAAAAUUCUCUCUCUCUCUCUCUUAAAAAAAAAUAAGAAAAAUCUGUAGCGAUCCUGAUUGGUUUUCUCUUAUAUAUAAUCUGACUCCUUUCUCUUGUGGCCUUUAAAAAUUCUCUCCUUAUUCUGUAUGUUAGGCAUUUUCAUUAUAAUGUGACUUGGUAUAGUUCUGUUGUGAUUUUGUACAUUUGCUGUUCUGUAAGCCUCUUGUAUUUGAUUUUCCAAUUCAUUCUUCAUGUUUGGGAAAUUUUCUGAUUUUUAUUUCAUUGAGUAGAUUGUUCAUUCCUUUAGUUUGUAUUUCUAUGCCUACCUCUAUUACAAUAGUUUCCUUUAUUUCAAGAUUUCUGUUUGUUUUUUUUAUUUCAGAAUCUCUAUCUCUUUCUUGAAGUAAUCUUUUGCUUCCUGUAUUUGCUUAUACAGCUCUUUAUCAAAGUGAUCUUUUGUUGGCUGUAAUUGCUCUCUUAUACUAUUUUUUACUUCACAGAAUAUUUUAAUUUUGUAAUCUCCUGAACUCCUUCUCUGACAUUUCUUCUGCUGUGCUGGCCAUGGAUUUUAAUAAUGUAGUAUCUUGUUUGUUUGGGGUGGUUUAUUCCCUUGUUAUUUCAUGUUGCUCAUGUGUCUUCCCUUCUAACUGUGCAGAACUGAGAUAUUAUAGUUUCUGCCCUAUAGACUUACAGUGUCCCUGCAAAUUUCCAAGACCUGUCCUGUAAGUGAAAAAUCAAUAUUAACAAAUCCCAAUGCAAACAUUAUGCAGCCUUGAACCAAGUAGCUCCUAUUAAGACAUUUACAGUUUUGUCACAAUAGACAGAAAUGAUGUGUUCAAUUAUUAUCUACAAUAUGAACAGUAGGUUUGUGAAAGGGCCUAUAGUUUCUAAUGGUGAACAAAGAGGACUGAGGGGUGUAGGAUGAGAAGUUAAGGAUGUAGAAAGUGAGAAUAUAGCCACGCUGUGGCUCCCCAACAUGGGGCUCCCAAAGCUGCAUCCAUUUUGGGACACUGCAACCACCACAACCACUACCAUAGUCCUCUCCACAAGGUAGCCUGCACCUAGGCACACUAGACUGGGUCUGGAGACAGUCGCCCUGCACCUGGGUCUGGAGAUAGUUGCCCACCACAGCACCACAUGCCACAGCACUGGAUCCCCAAACAUGCCGCACAAUAUCACCACACAGCCCACCCUGGCUGCCCCAUCUCUGAAAGCGGUCGCCUCCAUUUUGGAACACUUUCAUCGCCAUCUUGGGUUACCUCUGCUGCCACCAUUGGGGCAACUCCCAUCUUUAAACACUGACUGGGGCCUAGAAGCAAUAUCAAGGUCCCUAGUGUCCCCCUCUCCUCCAACCACCAAUCCAGCACAGUGCUUGUAGCUACAUGGCCAGCCUGUAGCUCUUGAUGCCUGGUCCUGAUCUGCCCAAUAUAGAUCAGCUUUCAGGCCCCAGAGCUCAGCCCACAGGACCUCUGGAGAGCGAGGUUCCUCACCAGGAUGUAGAAAGGGAAGGAGCAAGACAAAUACAGUUUAGAGACUAAAUUAGAAACCAGGAAUUGUGGGGUCUACAGAUAAUGUAAUGGGCUAAGACCAGGCACCCACAUCACACAAAUGGGCCCAAAGGAGAUCCUUGGGAUGCAGUCUUCCAGUGGGGACCAGCAAGUGCUAUAACCUAGCUCCAGGAGUUCUGCCUCUAAGACCAACCCUCCCACACUAAUAACCUUCACCAGCCUGAGGGUGGAAAUACCAGCAAACAACAGACAACCACACCUAUCGGAUGAGAAGGGAAGCAGAGAAGAUACUGAACUCUAACAGAAACAAUCAUUCAAUUUUCCUUCACAUUUUUUUUUCUUUGUUUCCUCUCUCUUUUCCCACCCUCACAUCCCCAAUAUUUGUGAAACCAAGCACUUUUCAUGCAUUAGGCUUCUGAGGACUGGGAUGUCUGACUAGUAUAUUAUAGUUUUGUUGUAUAUUCUUUUAUCUUUUGUUGUUAUGAUUUUCAUUUUCUUAUUAAUUUAUUUUGUUUGUUCUCUCGCUCUCUCUCUUUACUUCCCACUUAUCUGUCUCCCCAGAAUCUCUUUCUCUCUUUUCUUCUGCUAUCAAAGCAUUUAUUGAAAGUUAAACUAAAGCACAAUCAAAUAAAAUUUGUAGCUGGAUUAUAGUUGGCUGAUUUUGUAUAUUUGACUUUGUAAGUUUGAUUCAACAAGGAACUAUCUGAUAUUCAUCAAGGGACUUGGGAAAUGUCAAAUAUUAAUUUUCCUGAGCCUCUAUUCAAUCAUUUGUAAAACAGAGACAUCAUACUCAGUUUGCUGGGUUUCGCUGGAAUGAAACAUGUAAAGUGAGCACUUGAUUUUUCAUACAUGCAUGGCAAUAUUUACCUCCAAGGAGGGAAUUUUGAACCUAUUUUCAAUAUGUAUUCUUCACACAGGUUGUUUCAUCCUCACAAAAUCCUUUGAACUAAGUAUUGAAGUCUAUUUUAGAGGUGAUAGAACUUAGGCUUAGAGGUUAAAUAUUCUUUACCCCCCUCUUCCCUCCCAGUUACAUAACUCAUAAGGUAAAUCCAGAAUUUGAACUCCACAUUUUUUCUUCUACUAUUUUACUUUGUAUGUAUGUGUGUGUACAGUUAAUUUUUAAAACAACUUUAUUGUUAUACUGUUUGCAUACAUAAAAUUCAUAUGUUCAGAGUGUACAAGUCAGCUGGACAAGGUGGUACAUGUCUGUAACCCUAGAGGCUCAGGAGGCUGAGGCAAAAGGAUUGCAAGAUUGAGGCCAGCCUCAGCAACAUAGUGAGACUGUCUCAAAAUGAAAAAUAAAAAAAGCACUGAGGAUGUAGUUCAGUAGUAAAAGCUCUCCUUUGUUCAAUCCUCAGUAAGAGAGAGAAAGAGAGAGGAGGGAGAGGGAGAGAGAAAGCAUAUCGUACUGUGGUUGUUAGCCAUAGAAUUGUACAGCCAACAAUACAGUCUAAGUUUAGGACAUUUUCAUCACCUUAUCCCCAAAACCCUUACCAAUGACCCCCUUUUCCUCAGCCCCAGACUUAGACAACACCUCAUUGACAAUCUCUUUGUACUUUGAACAUUUCCUAUAAGUGGACAUGAAAUUGUAUUGCCCUGUUGUGAUUGGUUUUUCUCUUUGUGUUUUCAAGAUUUAAUAACAUUGCAGUGUAUUUCAUUACUUCAUUCCUUUCUAUGGGCGAACAACAUUACCUAGGGUUGUGAUGAGGGAAGAGGGGUCACUGGUGGGUAAAGGCUUGGGAGGGAGGUGAUGAGAGUCUUCUGAACAUAGACUGUAGUGUUGGCUGUGAAUAUACUAAACACCACUCAACUGUACACUGCCAGUGGGUGAAUUCUAUGUAUGUGAGUGGUAUCAUCUCUUUGAUGGUAUAAAUCAAGUGGAGAUUUUCCUUUAAGACUGCCAAUUUAGUGGUCACAACCUAUAAAUACCUUCCAGAUCCUUCUGCCUUCCUUCUGCACCUACCAGGACCACCACAGAAACUAGUUUAAGAAAGAAAUUCCCCAGCCUUCUGAUAUCAUUUCUUUGUUGGCCCAAGAAUAGCAAUGGACUUAAACCUUAUUUGUUUUUAUAUCCCCUACCCCAAGUACAAAUUUAGGAUAAAGAAAUCUGCAACUGGGUGAGUCAUGAGCAUGUGCUUUCCCCCUGCUGUCUGCUCUGUUUCAUUUCUGUUCACAACCAGAUUGAAAUAAAUGGAGAAUUAGAAAAUGAAACUGGAUUUUAAAAAAAUCACUUUUAGUUAUAACUAUUUUUCUCAAAUGUUUAGUUGCAUCUAUAUUUCCACCAACUCUCUCACUCAACCCAUAUUAUUACAGUCUCUAUGUGAAUUUUCUGUUCAAAUACAGCGAUCAACAACAGUAGAAUCUCCCAGUGAAGCACAACACUUUAUACUCAUGACUGCAUUGAGUACCCGUGGACAAAGGCCAAGGGAUUCUUUAUCGGGAAUAUUUCCACGAGAGUUGGCCUAACUACAGAAAAUACUGUGUACCUCUUGUGAUCUGGUAGGUCAAAUGCAAGUUUUUCUUAAAAUGCUUAUAUUAACUUUUCAUUUAGUUUCAUAGUUGCUUCCAUGUUCCUUUUAUUAUAAAAAUAAUUUUUUAGUCACUUAACUCCCUCAUAGUAAUUCCCAUCCUCAAGCAAAAUCAGUGAUUCAGGAAAAUACAUUAUGACUUUGUUGAUUUGUGUAACCUGUAGUGGCCAUAAUUUCUUUUUCAGUGAAGAUGAGAUCUACAGAAGUGACACUUCUAUCCUGUCUUCCCACCCUUCCCUAUACUUUCCUCUCUAUAUCUUCAUUCUGUAGCACAAAGUGACUCAUGUUUGGAGAGAAGUUAAAAGUGUUAUGACAUUGCCAGAAGUCAUAAACUGAGGGAAAGGGAAAUCUUACUUCAUAUAUAGUGUGCCUGUGCCUACAUGUGCAUGUGUGGGAUCAAAGAGCUGGGAAGAAAACAUCACCUCACAGGAAUAUGGAUCUGCAUAAAAUAUUGGGUCGAACAUUUCUUUAAAUUUUGGGAUUUGCACAAGGUACAAUAAGGAGCAGAUUAGUUUAUAAUUAAAAAUGUUUCUCCACCAGCAAUAAUUCAAUGACUUGUGAUGUUCGAUUAUGGAGACAGAAAAGAAGAUUGUCAGGUAGGUGUUAGGCCACUUAUGAACCAUCCCACUAAGUUUAAAAGCUACACUUAAAAGACCCUCUUCCGAGCUUAAAAAAAAAAAAGUUUUAAGAACAGGGUAGAAAUAGCAAGAUAUGUGAAGCUAAAUAAUAUAAUUAACUGAAAAUAUAUUUCAAAAACUAAGUCUUACUCAGGUCAUCCAUCAUCAACAAAUAUAGAUUACAAACUACUGUGUGUGCAAGCUGCUUAAAAUGGAAUAACAUCUCCAUCAUUAUUUGCACUGCCAACACCUAGCAUGGAUGUAGUUGUUCAUUGCUGUGAUCAGGUUGUACACUCAUCUGAAAGCCCAAGUGUGUAUGUGUGUGUGUGUGUGUGUGUGUGUUUGUGAUACACCUCCAAGCUCAAAUAAUUGUUGGCAAACUUCAGUUCCACUAUGACUGGUUGAAAAUUUCAAGUCCUUUCCACAUGGGCAUCUCCAUAGACUUCCUGAAUAUCUGCACAGCAUGGCAGCCAGCUUUCCCCAACAUGAACGUUCUGAUGGAGAGAGACAAAGAGGGACAGAUAUUCCCCAAGACAAAAUCCAUAAUCUUUGAAAACCUUAUCUUGUAGGUGACAAAUCAUCACUGUGCUGUGUACAGCUGGUCACACAGAUGACCUUGGUAUAAUUAUGUGAGGGAAUCCAUGAGGGUGUGAACACUGGGAGGCAGUGAUCACUGGGGUUUUUUUGAAAGCUGCCUAUUCCAAUGAACUCAGUCAUAUAUUAAAAUCCUCAAUAUUAUGGGACAAAUGGAUAGAUGAACGAUGCUGUUUGCCACAUAGCACUCUCCCACAGCAAUGACUUUAAUGAUAUUAUUAGAUAUUAUAUGACUAUAAGCCCGAAAUGUGCAUCUGUGAGGAAAUUUCUCAGAGUAGGGCAUGGAAAUCACAAUAUCAUAAAGUUAACUACAAUAAAACCCCAAAUAUAAUUUAGAAAGUUAGUCAGUAUACAGCAAACAAAUUAAAACAGUCUGCAUUCCACAAUCAAGAUCAGAAGUGAAAUAAAGCAUUUAAGAAGCUUAAUAUCAUAUUUUUCUACAUGCUAUGAUACAUAUGUUUUGGGAUAGCAUUUUGUUUUUUAAUUCCUUAGUAAUUAUAGCAGCUAAGAAUUACUGCAUGGCAUAGUAAAUCUUUUAUUCAUACAAUGUAGAUACCUACUACAGGAAAUAUGAGGACAGCAGAAACCAUUAAGCUUACUGAAACAUUAAAUUUUAACAUAGGAAGCAUAUUCUAAUGUAGCCUAUAAGAAGAUGAAAAUAGAAAAAUGUGUUUCACAGACAACUUUCAGAUUUCUAUCAGAUCAGUGUAAACUAAGGGAAAUCUCAGGUCUUGGAGCUGCCAUGUUUAAAUGUGGUUUGUCCCCAAAAAUCUCAUGUUGAGGCUUGGUCCCCAAUGUGGUGGCGAUAAAAUUUAGUGUCUUUGAAGAGGUGAUUAGGUGAUUGCUUUUCUCCUGGGAGUGAGUUCCUGCUCUCCAGGGACUGGAAGGUUACUGUGAGAGUGGGUUGCUAAAAUGCAACUUCAGCUUCCAGGGCUAUGUCUUUCUUGCUUGAGCUCACUUGCACAUGUGCUGUUUGCUCAUGGCCCUGAUUGUUCACAUGCUGUGAUGCCGCCAGGGGCUGUCACCAGACACUGGCAGGAUGCUGUCUGGACUCCCGAGCCACUAGAAUCAUGAGGUAAAUAUACUUCUUUUCCUUAUGAAGUACCCAAUAUCAGGAAUCCCGUGAUACCAAUACAAAAUGAACCAAGAAAGGAUCCAAGCAAACCUGGAUUUGAAUCCUGGCUUCAACGCUUACUAGCCAUUAUCAGACACACAUUUCAAUAGAGUCCUGGUCUACUUCCAUUUGCCAUGACUUCUGGUUGCUUAUUUUUUUUUAAUGCAGAUUUUGGCUUAGAAAUUGCUCAAGCCUAUGACACAAACUUUGAUAAACUAAUGUAACAUCAUGUAACAUCUCUGAGUCAUUUCCUUGGAUGUUAAAUGUAUAUAAGUUUGUUGUAAAUCAAGCAGUGAAUGUGAUGCCAACAGCAGUGAAGGGUGGGUUAUGCACAGAUCUUACACACUACUUCAGAUUCCUCUAACUCCACCUGUCUCCACACUAUAGGUUCAUCUGUCACUAUUGUACCCUAAACUCAAUUUGGCCUUAUUGUUCUGGCCACCCAGUAAUUUGCUCCAGAUGUACUGGGUUUUCUAUCUUGGCUGAUCACGAGCACCCUUAGAAUUUGUCAUUCUGAGCACCAUUUCUGGGUCUAGACAGAAGACUACACAGCAAGUUUUGGGAACUAGUGUCUCAAGAGGUCUCAGGAAGGACUGUAUGACAUACCCUAGAAGUUCAGGGGCCUUAUCUCCUUGUAGGGAAAAAAAAUGUGACCAUUGAGAAACUACAGUUGAGAGGAAACUGGGCAGAUUAAUCGUCUCUCCUUCCUCUUUCCUUAAAUGAUAUUUUCUCUUGCCACCAAAUGGGAACUGCCCAAGUAGAAAUGGCUGCUGACCAACCCUGUGCUUCCUUGACUUCUCAUGGAGCCAUGCAUCAUUUCAAUCACAUCCUUCCUCACCAGGAAUUCUCAGACACACAUUUCAACAGAGUCCUGGUCUACUUCCUAUUGCCAUCACUUCUGGUUGCAGAUUUUUUUUUAAUGAAGAUUUUGGGUAAGAAAUUGCUCAGGCUUAUGACACAAACUUUGAUAAACUAAUAAAACACUCAUAUCUUGAACAUAUGCCAAUGUCCAUGGGAGCUACUGUUGCAGAAAAUCAGCCUUUCUGGAAAGUUGGAAAUAGUGACAUGAGAGAAGAAACAUCCCAGCUAUUUGUUCUGACUUCAGGAGGAAUCAUUUAAGCUAGAAAUUCCAAACAUCCUCACUUGUUUUUUCUCUCUCACCCUCUGCAUCCUAUCACCCUUGCUUAGUCACUGUAACCUUUCUAACCACUUCCCUGCUUUUUGUCCUUUAUCAGCAUAGAUUUGACUCUCAGUCUUCUGGACAAGAGCUUCAGAGCCUCUGUCCCACCAGCUCCAAUUUCAUCCUACUGAACCCAUUCUCCAAGUUGCUAUCAGAUUAGUCUUUCUAGAAUAUAAGGCAGCUUGCUUGGCUUCUCUACUCAUGAAUCAGUAAUCCCUCAUAGCUUUUAGAGCGUGCCUUCAAUUAAAGCUUUCAGAUUAAACUCAUUGUGAGACCUUCCCCUACCCCCUAUCCACCUCCCCUGCCAAUAUGAAUAAUUACAACGCUGUAUGACAAAUACUUAAAAAGGACAAGCUAAGUGCUGUAAGAAGGGAGAGACAGUAUCACACUCUAGCUGGGUCAGUGGACGGCAGUUUAAAAGAGGUAUGGUGUUUGAGCAAUAUAUUUUCUAAAAUUAGUUUUAGGAAGUGUCCAACACAUUUACCCUUUUAUUGUUUUUUUUUCUCCUUAUAUACAAAUGUUGAUGCUGGUCUAUGAUUGUAUUGUUUAAAGAAUUCUCUACUUCUCCCUGUGGGAGAAUCCUGUGUGUUCUACUGUGGCUUUUCAUGUAACUCGCUACCCUCAUUGACCCACUGAAUUGGUGCCAGCCUUGGCCACAUGGCUUCUUUGUCUAGUGAGAUGCGGGUGGAAAUGAUGUGUGCCUCUUCUGAGUAGAAGCUUUAAGAGCUCUGGUGUGGUUCUUCCACUUUCUUUUUUCCCCUCAUCAUGAGAUCAUCAUGUCACUGCUCUUUCAGUCUGGGUCCAAAACAAAGGCUAUUUGGAGCAGAAUUGCAGCUGACCUGCAAUGGGCAAGCAACAUAUGAGAGGAAUAAACCUUCACUGUUAUAAGUCUCUGAGAUUUUAGGGUUGAUUUUUACUGUAGUGUAGCCUAAUCUAGGCUGAUCCAUACAUUUACUUACAUAGUAUUUAUCUAUUGCUGCUUAAAACUUACCCCCAAAUUAGUGGCUUAAAACAGCCAUGACAGAUGAUUGUUUAGUUUACUCCCAAAUCUGUAAUUCAAGCAGGGGUUAGGGCUGAGGGGAGCUGCAGAUAGCUCUUUCCUGUUCCAUACUUACACAGUUCAAUGGUUGGGAGCUGCAACCAUAGGAGGUCUUACUCAUGUGUCUGGUGGUUGAGGCUGGCUGUCAGCUGGGAUCUCUGCUGAACUGUAGCCAGAGCACCCACAUGCAGCUUUUCUUUCUUUUCUGUUUCUUUUUCUUUUUUUCUUUGAUGGUGCUGGGCCAUGUGCAUGUUAAAGCCCCAGCCCACUGUAGCCUUUCUCAGUUGGCUACUCGCUUUCCUCACAGAAUGGGCUUGGGUCUCCUAGGUGAAUACACCAAAAUAAGCAAGUAGAAGUGCCAUGUCCUUUCAUGACCCAGAUUUCCAUGUCAUGGAGAACCACAUCUCAUAUACAAAAAGAACAAAUAAACAAGAGAAACUAAAAAAUUGAUAUUAGGGUUCUCCAUAGAAACAGAACCCAUAAGAUGUGGUGUGUGUGUGUGUGUGUGUGUGUGUGUGUAAAAGAGAGAGAGAGAUUUCAAGGAAUUGGCUCAUGCAGUUGUGGGAGUUAGCAUGUUCAAAAUCUGUGGACGGCCUGGCAGGAGUAUAUGUCAGCCUUGAGUCUGAAGGUGGCCUGGAGGCAGAAUUUCUUCAGAAUUAGGUCACAAAAAAUGAGUUCCCUGGGAGAAACACAGUUCUAACCUCACAAGAGGGAAUAUGGGGUUUUGUGUGUGUGUGUGGUGUGUGUAAGAGAGAGAGAUUCAACUUUUAAAAAAUCCAUUCAUGGACACUAAUGAAAAGUGGCUAUUUUAUAAAAAAAAAAAAUUCAUAGGGCAGGUAGGGCAGGGAAAGUUUAUAAUGCACAUUCAACUUAAACUACCUGAAUUACAAUGAAAAAUAUCAAAUCAACCUAAUCAGAAAACUAAAUUCUCUCACAGGUAAAAAGAAAAGGAAAAAUGAAUGGAGAAAGUUCAAAGGAGAAAAUGACAAAUAUUUGUCAUUAAAAUGAUCUCAGAGUUGUAGUUAAUACACUUAAUCUAGUAAAUUAAUAAAACAACUAAAGUAGGUACUAUAAAAUAUUAUCUAACCAUAUGUGACACAUUUGAAGGAAGUUAGAAAGGUAUUUGAGGGUGAGGGUGUAUUUGAACCUAAAGGUCAGGGUAUUAAAAAUAAUCCCAUAUGAUGAGCAUUAAUUUAGAAUCUUCCAUUAUCUCCACCAUUACACAAAAAGAAUGGGCAGGAAGGUUUAGUAGUUCUGUCAGUGGGAUUAUUACAUUGGAAUGACAUUAUCCCCAAUCCUUCAUCCUGACCCCAUAUUUCUGAUGGAUAGUAACUGCAUAAAACUUAUCAAUUGUCAUUUAGAAACUGCAACUUGCUUGGGUUCAAAGAAGAAUUCAAAUGAUAAUUGCUAUAGACAGAAUUUUUUCUAUCCCCUCCCAAAUUCAUAUGUGGAAAUCUUAACCUCUAGUCUGGUGGCUUUUGUGGGUGCGACUUUUGGGAGGCGAUUAGGUCAGAAGGUUGGAGUCCUCACAAAUGAGACUCGUGUCCUAAAAAAAAGAACCCAGUGAGCUCUUCUCACCUCUUCUGCCAUGUGAGAUCACAAUGAGAUGAUGACCAUCCAUGACCCAGGAAGACGGCCCUCACUAGACACUUAACCUGAUUUUGCCUUUACCUCAGACAUCCCAGCAUCUAGACUGUAAGAAAUAAAUUUCUGUUGUUCAUAAACCACACAUUUUAUAUUUCAUUGUAGCAGCCAUAUAACACUAAGAUAGUAAUUUCAAUUCACCCUAAAAGCAGUUCAUUAGACAAUGUCAUCUAAACAGGAUGACUCAGGUAUUCUUAAAGCAAAUGAUUUUUCAAUCCUGGAAAAUUAAUAAAGAAUGUAAAUCAAAUGUGUAGACUUAACAUUUGUGUACUGUGUUUAAAAAUAAGAAUUUCAUCAGUAGGAUAGUCUCCCAACACUUGAAUAUAAAGUACUUUCAGUGUUUAAGAGAUUCUGAGAUGGAAGCCUAGAGGUUCUUAAUAAAUUAUGUAAUUGGUUUUAGAGUUUUGGGUCUGAGUUGAAUAUUAGAGAAUAGUUUUCUAAAAUAUAUACACUGUAUUGAGAGGCUUAAGUCAAUUUUAGAUUAACUAUAUUUAUAAGUUAAUUUAUUAGGUGGAUGAUAGUUUCAGUAUUUGGAAAAAGUUUGCUAGGCCUGCAAAUUUUGAAGUAUUUAAUAAUAGUUAUAAUUGCAUUAAAAUAUUUGUUUAUUUUUUGCAUUAAAUAUUUAAAUAACUUAAUAUACUAAGUUUGUAAAUAGGUUAAUAUGUUUUGAAUUGAGGUGGUCAAAACCUUUUCCAGAAGUAACAGUUUUUAUUUAAUUUAAUUCUGUUUUUUUUUUUUUUUUGUACUGGGGAUUGAACCCAGGGGUGCUUUGCUACUGAGCUACAUCCCCAUCCCUUUAUUUUAUUUUGAGACCGGGUCUCCCUUGUAAUCCUCCUGCCUCAGUCUCCCAAGUUGCUGGGAUUAUAGGCAUGCACCAGAGCACCUGGCUGAUUUCAUUCUUAAAUUUACAAGAUUGACAAAAGCAAUAAAGUUUUGAAGAAACUUGUUUCUAAAUUUUCACUUUAAUAAACUAAAUUUUAAUUUAAAUCCAAGCAUCUUUAAAUAGCUUAUCUAAACUUGAAAGCUCCCCCAGGAAGACCUAAAAUGGAGGUCAAAGACCAAAUUUCCACUGUGAUAAGAAUUGAGAUUUUGAGUCAGAAGCAAUUAAAACUGGUAUCAAAGUAAUACCAAAGAUGACUGAAUUAAACUUUCUCAAGUUGUAGAAACAGAUGAUUAGCAGUGUUUGGUAGAAUGGCAAAGCAAGAAAGCAAAUAAGAGAUCCUUCAUUUUAACAUAUGCUGGAAAACUUCAUAAAUUAAAACAGUGAGUAUCCAGCCAGGGGAAUUUUUUGUUUGUUUGUUUGUUUUGCCAACUUUAAAAAGAUGAAAGAUCAGGCUAUCUUCAUCAAGACUAAAUACCCUAAAACUUGGAAAAGAAAAAAUAUCGGGUAAGCCUCCUAUCAUUUAUGGGGAUAACAGAAGGUAGUCUAAUUUUACAAUGACUGAAAGACUAUAACAUCUACGAUCACCAACUGGCUGGGUUGAUGAUAUGAACUGAGUUUAAAGGAGCUGGCUGUAUCAAUAACAAAGAAAACAGCGAAGAAAGCUCGCAAUACACAGAAAUACCUUUUGCAGGAAUCAGGGAUGUUUCUGAGACCUCUGGGGUCUGCUGGAAAGAGAGUGUGCAUCUAGAUUAUUUUUAUGGGAGGGACCCACAAAAGGAGGUUCCAUGGAAUGUUCUUUCCAAAUAAAGCAAGGGGUCAUGUUUCAGGGGGUUGAAUCUAGCUUCCCAAUGUCCUGUGGUCAGUAGAUUGAUUGACAUCUUGGCAAGUCACAACCAUCUCAGGUGCCCUGUGGGAACACAGGCAGAGGAAAGUGCACACAAUCCACAAUCGUUGCACAACCCAAAGAGCAUGCAAGGACAGGCUGGUCCUCCCGUAUGCUCAAAUGCGCAUAGCUCACACACACAGUCCAUGGAUGGCUCACGACAAUCUACAUAACCCAUUUAGAGAAAAAAGGCUUCAAAAGUGUACUUUUAAUGGCAAAGAGAUUAGCAAAGUAAAGAUUUGAGAAUAAGGAUGAGAAUAUACAAAUGCAUGACAAGUCUCUACCUUCAUAACCAAUGUAAAACUCCAAAUGCAAGAUCCUUCUGGACAGAUUUUAACCGUGACUGAGCUGUUUCACUUCUACUUUUACUUUCUUCUCAGUACUAAGAAAUCUGUUUUUCUGGCAGCAUACUCGUUAUCUUAUUAACUAGGUGAAAUCUCUGACCAUUUUUGGAGUAAAAAUGUAAUAAUCCUAUUGGUUGUAUUCUAUUAAGUAGCUGAAUCUCAACAAUGACUUAGUUUGAUGACUUAGGUGUUAUUUAUAUGGGUUACAAAGAAGAGAUGCAUAAUAACCAUUUUAAUUGCCAAAGAAUUUGAAAAACUUUUUGAUAAUCAAAUGUAAUAUGAAGUGAUUUGAGUCAUUGAUCAUUUUAUUGCCCUUUUUAAUUGGAAAGAAACUAACAAACCACUUAAAGACAAAUAUUAUGUUUCAAAAGCUCUUUUUCAUAUUGUGUUCCUUGAAGAAUGAAAAAAUAUGUUAAAUAAACAUAAUGAUCAGAAAGAUUUCUAAAUACAUAAAUAAAUACUAUAAGAUAAUAUGCCAAAAUAUUAACUGAGUUGUGUGUUCUGUGUGAUUUUGAAUUUUUUCAGCAUUUUGUAUUAUUGAAAUUAUCAUAUGCAUGCAUUACUUUUAUAAUGUGAAUAAAUUUUCAUUUUAAAAAUUGAUUUAUACAACCUUCUAAAUAUAAGAUAGUCAUACUUGCAUAAAAUGUAUAUGUUCAGUGGGAAUUAACCAAAAGAGCUACACAAUUUAAGCAAUAAACUGACAUAGUAUUAGAUAUCGAUCCAAAUUAGAAAACAGAGGUCCACAAGUCCAUAUUGACUCAAUAAAUGAUUAAUAAAUUAAUAAAUAGGGUGAAAGAGACAGAUUUCCCAUGGAGGACAAUUUCAAAUAAUCAUAGAUACUUCCACUCCUUAAGGGGGAGGGCAGGGGAGGCUGUGCAUAGUAACUUUCUUCCAAAGACUACAGUAUGGAGAUGAGGAGGGAAGUAACUUCACAGAAUAAACUCUAUAAACCUGCAUAAACACUAUCAUAGUCAGUGAUAGAGGUCAACAUCAAAGUCAUUAAGCAUAUCAACAGUGUGUACCCUAGAUAGGAUGUAAUGAGAAUAGAACUUUAUCUAUGUGUUCUUCUUUCCAAAACCCAUAACUCCAAUCUAAUCAUGAAAAAGCAUCAGACAAAUUUCAAUUGAGAGACUUUCUACAAAAUACCUGACCAGUAUUUUUCAAACUGUCAAGGUCAUCACAAACAAGGAACAUCUGAGAAAUUGUCACAGCCAUGGGGAUCCUAAGAAGAUAUAACAACUAAAUAAAAUAUGGUAUCCUAAACUGGGCAUGGUGGUGCACACCUGUAAUCUCAGCAGCUCAGGAAGCUGAGUCAGGAAAAUCGCGGUUCAAAGCCAACUUUAGUGAAAGUGAGGUGCUAAGCAACUCAGUGAGACCCUGUCUUUAAAUAAAAUACAAAAUUGGGCUGGGGAUGUGGCUUAAUGGUUAAGUGCCCCUGAGUUCAAUCCCCGUAUACCUCCCCCAAAAAAUACGUUAUCCUAGAUGGGAUCCUCCAAGAAAAUAAAGAGAUUAGAAAAACCCUAGGGAAAUCUGCCUAAAGUGUGGACUUUAGUUAAUAAUAAUAAUGCAUCGAUAUCAAUUUCUUACUUGUAACAAAUAUAUCAUAUCAAUGUAAGGUGUUACUAAUAGGGGAAACCGGAUGCCAGAUAAAUGGGAACGCUCUAUACUAUCUUCUCAAUUUUUCUGAAAAUCUAAACUUUUCUAAGAUACAGAAUCUAUAAUAAAUGCUUUAUUGCUCUUGAAACAUGAAACUUACAAAAUUAGAUGCAUUCUAUCAACAAUUCUGACAGGAGUCCAGGGGCAGCUGGGUAAGUCAAGAAGUUCCAUGCUCUGAUAUGAGUCACUUCACAGAGGCAGUGCUCCCAAACUACCAUACACUAAGUUAGUCGCUUCCAGUCUUAGGUUCCAAAAAGGUUUUCUGAACUUGCAAUAUAAAUGCGUUCUUGAGGAUUCAUGCCUAUGUGUUUGAAAGUCUAGAGGGAGGUGAGAAAGAGGAGGAAGUAGAAUAGGGAUCUAGACUAUUUCUUCCCUUGGCUCUCUGGGUGGUGCAUUUUACCUGUACAACAAUUUUAAUUGAUUCAAAGGUAGUUAGAUCCUCACCUUCCUCUUUAUAUUAAAGAGGUUUUGUAACUUUCUGCCCAAGCUGAUCUUUUUUGCCUUACCCCUCUUUGCUGUAUUGGGUUUAAUUUCUUCUAGGUUUGUCCUUCUUUGUUGAUGCAGGAUGCUGGAAGUUCCAGUGUGGAGAGUGUAGGGGUACUAUAUGAGUACUGAAACUGGGGAAAAGGUUUGUUCAAUUGAGAUAAAUUUAAAUAUAAUACAAAACAGUAUAUAUGUUUUACAGUAACACAUUGUAAAUAUAAUACAUUAUACUAUGCAGUAAGGAAAUAUUCAUGUGUUCAUUAACCAAGUAUAACGAAUACCAACAAGUUCUCAUAUUUAUUUCAGAUUUUUAAAUAAGUUUUUGAAAUUAAUUUAUUUAUUUUAAUUUGUUAUACAUGAUGGCAGCAUGCAUUUCAAUUCAUAGUACACAUAUAGAGCACAAUUUUUCAUGUCUCUGGUUGUACACAAAGUAGAGUCACACCACUCAUGUCUUAUACAUGUACUUAGGGUAAUGAUGAUGUCCAUCUCAUCCACCAUCUUUCCUACCCUUGUUUUCUCCUCCCCCUUUGCCUUAUCUAAUGUUCCUUCAUUCCUCCCAUGCUCCCCCCUCCCACCAUUAUGGAUCAGCACUCACAUAUCAGAGAAAACAGUUGGCCUUUGGUUUUUUGGGAUUGGCUUAAUUCACUUAGCAUGAUACUAUCCAACACAAUCCAUUUACCUGCAAAUGCCAUAAUUUUAUUCUCUUUUAAUGCUAAGUAAUAUUCCAUUGUGUGUAUAUACCAGUUUUCUUUUUAAUCCAUCCAUCUAUUGAAGGGUAUCUAAGUUGGUUCCACAACUUAGCUAAUGUGAUUUUGUGUGCUAUAAACAUUGAUGUGGCUGUGACACUGUAGUAUGCUGUUUUUAAGUCUUUUGGGUAUAAACUGAGGAGUGGGAUAGCUGGGUCAAAUGGUGGUUCCAUUCCAAGUUUUCCAAAGAAUCUCCAUACUGCUUUCCAGAUUGGCUGCACCAAUUUGUAGUCCAACCAGCAAUGCAUGAGUGUGUGCCGCAGUCUGGCUGGGCACAAAUGCCACAGUCUGGCUGGGCACACAAUCAUGAGCCACCACACAGCUUGUAGAUUCAAACAGCAACUCUUUAUUCCCGAACUCACACCAGCCGUCUACAAUCACGUUCUGGGGAAAUCCACGUUCUCUGCCCAAAUCCACUCCCACUGGGCUUCUGUCUCCCAAAAAAUACUGUCUGAAUCCCAUGAGAACUCAAGGGGAACUCAGGCAGCAGGAUACGCCCUAUUCCCAGCAGGAAUAAUCUUAAACCUGGAACCUAAACUGGGAAUGCCCUAAACCCGGGUCCGCCCUGGUCCUUGAGCAAGGUCACCUACAUGCAAUGUCACUGCAAAAUGUCCUAUUUCCACGAGUCCUUCCACUAAGCAACAUGGGGUACGCUGGCAAGGAAAUUGUCAUACCUACUUGGCUAAUGGCUCCCAGCAAGUGUGCAUUUCCCCUGCAUCCUUGCCAACACUUAUUGUUGUUUGUAUUCUUGAUAGCUGCCAUUCUGACUGGGGUGAGAUGAAAUCUUAGAGUGGUUUUGAUUUGCACUUCUCUAAUUGCUAGAGAUGUUGAACAUUUUUUCAUAUAUUUGUUGAUUGAUUGUAUGUUAUCUUCUGAGAAGUGUCUUGGCCCACUUAUUGACUGGGUUAUUUGUUUUUUUGAGGUGUUAAGUUUUUUGAGUUCUUUAUAUAUCCUAGAGAUUAGUGCUGUAUCUGAUGUGUAUGUGGUAAAAAUUUGCUCCCAUUCUGUAGGCUCUCUCUUCAUUUCACUGAUUGUUUGUUUGUUGUUGUUGUUGAGAAUAAACUUUUUAGUUUCAAUUCAUUCCAUUUAUUGAUUCUUGAUCUUAUUUUUAUUUUAUUAUAUUCUUGUCUAUAGGAGUCUUGCUAAGGAAGUUGGGGCCGAAUCCAACAUGAUGAAGAUUUGGGCCUACUUUUCCUCCUCCUCCUCCUCCUUCUUCUUCUUCUUCUUCUUCUUUUUUUUCUUCUUCUUCAUUAUCUUUCUUUCUUUUUUUUUUUUUUUUUUUUUUUUUUUUUUUUAAUUUUUUAUUGUGGGUUGUUCAAAACAUUACAAAUUUCUUGACAUAUCAUAUUCCACACUUUGAUUCUAGUGGGUUAUGAACUCCCACCUUCACCCCAUACACAGAUUGCAGAUUCACAUCAGUUACACAUCCAUUGAUUUACAAAUUGCCAUACUAGUGUCUGUUGUGCUCCGCUGCCUUUCCCAUCAUCCACCCUCCCCCCUCCCCACCUCUCCCCUCCCCUCCCCUCCUCUCUCUCUACCCCCUCCACUGUAUAACCCUGAGGGUCUCCUUCCAUUACCGUGCAAUUUACCUUCUCUCUCCCUUUCCCUCCCACCUCUCAUCCCUGUUAAAUGUUAAUCUUCUUCUCCUGUUCUUCGUCCCUACUCUGUUCUUAGUUACUUUCCUUAUAUCAAAGAAGACAUUUGGCAUUUGUUUUUUAGGGAUUGGCUAGCUUCACUUAGCAUAAUCUGCUCUAAUGCCAUCCAUUUCCCUGUAAAUUCUAUGAUUUUGUCAUUUUUUAAUGCAGAGUAAUACUCCAUUGUGUAUAAAUGCCACAUUUUUUUUAUCCAUUCGUCUAUUGAAGGGCAUCUAGGUUGGUUCCACAGUCUUGCUAUUGUGAACUGUGCUGCUAUGAACAUCGAUGUAGCAGUGUCCCUGUAGCAUGCUCUUUUUAGGUCUUUAGGGAAUAGACCAAGAAGGGGAAUAGCUGGGUCAAAUGGUGGCUCCAUUCCCAGCUUUCCAAGAAAUCUCCAUACUGCUUUCCAAAUUGGCUGCACCAAUCUGCAGUCCCACCAGCAAUGUACAAGUGUACCCUUUUCCCCACAUCCUCGCCAGCACUUGUUGUUGUUUGACUUCCUAAUGGCUGCCAAUCUUACUGGAGUGAGAUGGUAUCUUAGGGUGGUUUUGAUUUGCAUUUCUCUGACAGCUAGAGAUGUUGAGCAUUUUUUCAUGUACUUGUUGAUUGACUGUAUGUCCUCCUCUGUGAAGUGUCUGUUCAGGUCCUUGGCCCAUUUGUUGAUUGGGUUGUUUGUUCUCUUAUUGUCUAAUUUUUUGAGUUCUUUGUAUACUCUGGAUAUUAGGGCUCUAUCUGAAGUGUGAGGAGUAAAGAUUUGUUCCCAGGAUGUAGGCUCUCUAUUUACCUCUCUUAUUGUUUCUUUUGCUGAGAAAAAACUUCUUAGUUUGAGUAAGUCCCAUUUGUUGAUUCUAGUUAUUAACUUUUGUGCUAUGGGUGUCCUAUUGAGGAAUUUGGAGCCCGACCCCACCGACUGUAGAUCGUAGCCAACUUUUUCUUCUAUCAGACGGCGCGUCUCUGAUUUGAUAUCAAGUUCCUUGAUCCAUUUUGAAUUCACUUUUGUGCAUGGCGAGAGAAAGGGAUUCAGUUUCAUUUUGUUGCAUAUGGAUUUCCAGUUUUCCCAGCACCAUUUGUUGAAGAUGCUAUCCUUCCUCCAUUGCAUGCUUUUAGCCCCUUUAUCAAAUAUAAGAUAGUUGUAGUUUUGUGGAUUGGUUUCUGUGUCCUCUAUUCUGUACCAUUGGUCCACACGCCUGUUUUGGUNAGACCUACAACAGACCGCCGGCAGGCUCCUGGGCCUGAUCCGCCGGUCUGUUGUAGGUCUGCCUACCUUGAAGGCGCGGGCGGCGGAUCUGCCCUGCCCCUCCUACCACGCCUGCGGACCCCUGGGCCUGAUCUGCAGGUUGAUCACUGGUCUGCUCACCCUGCGGGCACGGGUGGCGGUUCCGCUCCACCCCCACUCCAAUUGGGGUCACGUGACCACCACACCGGCAGGGCCUGAUCCGGGCGUGGGAUAAGGAUCUGCUCUGCCCCUACUCGAGUUGGGGUGACGUGUGUACCACACUGGCAGGCCACUGGGCCUGACCCGCCAGGCUGUCACAGGUCUGUUUACCUUGCAAGCGCGAAGGGCGGCUCUGCCCUGCCCCUCCUACCACGCCCAUGUACUACUGGGUCGUGGGUCUGCCCACCUGGCGGGUGUGGGUGGCGGCUCCGCUCCGCCCCCUCUCCAAUUGGGGUCACGCGGUCACCACGCUGGCGAGCCGCUGGGCCUGCUCCGGGGGCUGGCGGCGGCCCGGCUCCUUCCCUCUGGCUCGAGGACAAAUUGAGGAGACUCGGGUGACUGAGCCUCACCCCCCUUACCAGGAGACCAACUGCUUAUGUCACCGCUGGUAUUGAUGAAGAUCUCUCCUCCACCGCUUUCUGCUGACAUCAGAUCUCUGCCAUGUUGGUAUCCUAUGCGAAUGGCAGCAUUUCGUUCCCCUUGCCAGGCAACCCAAGCAAUGGGUGAGUCCUGACCUGCCCUCAGCAGGACCCGGACCGAGACACAGUUUCCGCGGGCUCCUAGCCCCGGUCCAGGGAAGUUCCGGGAGCCGGAACUCGGCCGCUCCGUGCUCGGUGUAAGCUCCUAUAAGUGUAGGCUCCAAGAAGCAGCCCCCGCGGGCUCAGUUCCGGGAGCCGGAAUUCGGCCGCUUAGUGUUUGGUGUAUGCUCUGAUAGUAGCAGGGUCCAAGAAGCAGCCUCCGCGGGCUCCGCAGCCCUGAGCCAGGGCGGUUCCGGGACGGUUCCGGGAGCCGGAACUCGGCCGCUCUGUGCUCGGUGUAAGCUCCUAUAAGUGUAAGCUCCAAGAAGCAGUCCCCGCGGGCUCAGUUCCGGGAGCUGGAAUUCGGCUUCUUGGUGUUUCGUGUUUGCUCUGAUAUUAGCAGGGUCUAAGAAGCAGCCUCCGCAGGCUCCGCAGCCCGGAGCCAGGGCAGUUCCGGGACGGUUCCGGGAGCCGGGACUUGGCCGCCCCGCGCUCCGUGUUCACUCCGAUAAGAUCAGAUUUUAAGAAGCCCCCAGGCGCUGAACCCUAGCAAUCUGUCUGCAAGCCGCAGGCGAAUUGCAGCCUGAAAUUACCUGUUCUAUGGCUGAAUGAGCUGCGGUCAGUCAUCUUUCUUUUUUAACAUUUAUUUUUUAGUUGUAGUUGGACACAAUACCUUUAUUUCACUUAUUUAUAUUUAUGUAGUGCUGAGGAUUGAACCCAGGGUCUCACGUGUGUGAGGCAAGCACUCUACUACUGAGCCACAAACCCAGACCCUACUUUUUCUUCUAUUAGGUGCAGAAUGUCUGGUCUAGUUUCUAGGUCCUUGAUCCCCUUUGAGUUGAGUUUUUUGCAUGAUGAAAGGUGAGGACUUAAUUUCAUUUUGUUGCAUAUGAAUUUCCAGUUUUCCUAGCACCAUUUGUUGAAGAGGCUAUCCUUUCUCCAAUAUGUUUUUGGUACCUUGUCUAGUAUGACUGUAUAUAUGUGGGUUUGUCUGUAUUUAUAUGGGUUUGUAUCUGUGUCCUCUAUUCUGUACCAUUGAUAUACAAGUUUAUUUUGCUGCCAAUACCAUGCUGUUUUUGUUACUAUUGCUCUGUAGUAUAGUGAUGCCACUUGCUUCACUCUUCUUGCUAAGGAUUGCUUUGGCUAUUGAUGAUCUCUUAUUUUUCCAAAUGAAUUUCAUGAUUGCUUUUUCUAUUUCUAUGAGGAUCAUCAUUGGGAUUUUAAUUGGAAUUACAUAAAUCUGUAUAGUGCUUUUGGUAGUAUGGUCAUUUUGACAAUAUUAAUUCUGCCUAUCUAAGAACAAGGGAGAUUUUUUUUCCAUCUUCUAAGGUCUUCUUUAAUUUCUUUCUUUAGUAUUCUGUAGUCCUCAUUGUAGAGUUCUUUCACCUCUUUCAGUAAGUUGAUUCCCAAGUAUUUUAUUUAUUUAUUUUUAGUAUAUUGUAAAUAGGGUAGUUUUCCUAGUUGCUCUUUCUAAGGAUUUGUCACAUAGAAAUGUCUUUGAUUUAUGGGUGUGAAUUUUAUAUACUGCUAGUUUGCUGAAUUCAUUUAUUAGUCCUAGAAGUUUUCUGAUGGAAUUUUUGGAUCCUCUAGGUAUAAAAUCAUGACAUCAGAAAAUAGUGAUAGUUCAAAUUCUUCUUUUCCUAUUUGUAUCCCUCUAAUUUCUUUAGUCUAUCUGAUUGCUCUGGCUCAAGUUUUAAGAACUAUGUUAAAUGGAAGUGGUUCAGAGAAGUUAGCCAAUACCCAAAAAACAAAUGCCAAAUGUCUUCUCUGAUAUAAGAGGGGUGACUCAAAAUGGGGUAGGGAGGGAGAGAAUGGGAGGAAGAUUACCUCUAGAUAGGGAAGAGGGGUGGGAGGGAAAGGGAGGGAGAAGGGGAAUAGCAUGGAUGGUAGAAGGAGAACCUCAUCAUUAUAUAAAAUACAUGUAUGAAGAUGUGAAUUUGGUGUCAACAUAUCUUAUAUACAGAGAUAUGAUAAAUUGUGGUAUAAAGGUGUAUUAAGAAUUGUAAUGCAAUAAUAAUAAUAAUAAAGCUCAUGUAAAAAUAUAAAUAAAUAAAAAUAAAAAAAGAAGUGGUGAAAGAGGGCAUCCCUAUCUUGUUCCAGGUUUUAGGAGGAAUUAUUUCAACUUUUCUCCAUUUAGAAUGAUGUUGGCCUUGGGCUUAGCAUAGAUAGCUUUUACAAUGUUGAGAUAUGUUCCUGUUAUUCCUAGUUUUUGUAGUGUUUUGAACAUGAAGAGGUGCUAUAUUUUGUCAAAUGUUUUUUCUGCAUCUAUUGAGAUGAUCAUAUGAUUCUUAUCUUUAAGUCUUUUGAUGUGAUGAAUUACAUUUAUUGAUUUCUUUUUUUUAAAAUUUUUUAGAUGUUGAUGGACCUUUAUUUUAUUCAUUUAUUUAUAUGUGGUGCUGAGAACCAAACCCAGGGCCUCACACAUGCUAGGCAAGUGCUCCACCACUAAGCCACAACCCCAGCCCUCAUUUAUUGAUUUCUGUAUGUUGAACCAACCUUGUAUCCCUGGGAUGAACCCAACUUGGUCAUGGUGGACUGUCUUUUAAAUAUGUUUUUGUGUUUGAUUUGCCAGAAUUUUAUUGAGAAUUGUUGCACCUAUGUUCAUUAGAUAUAUUGGUCUGAAGUUUUCUUUCCUUGAUGUGUCUUUGUCUGGUUUUGGUAUCAGGGUGAUACUGGUUUCAUAGAAUGAGUUUGGAAGGGUUCCCUCUUUUUAUAUUUCAUAGAAUAAUUUGAAGAGUAUUGGUGUUCUUCUUUAAAGGUCUUGUAGAACUCAGAUGUAUAUCCAUCUGGUCCUGGGCUUUCCUUUGUUGGUAGGCUUCUGAUGACAUCUUCUAUUUCAUUACUUGAAAUUGAUCUGUUUAAUUUGUGUAUAUCAUCUGGUUCAAUUUGGGUAGAUCAUAUGACUCUAGAAAUUUGUUGAUGUCUUCAAGAUUUUCUAUUUUAUUUGAGUAUAAAUUUUCAAAAGUUUCUAAUUAUCUUCCGUGUUUCUGUAAUGUCUGUUGUGAUAUUUCUUUUUUCAUCAUGGAUGUUAAUAAUGUGAGUUUUCUCUCUCCUCUUCCUUAGCACGGCCAAACAUUCAUGAAUUUUAUCUUUUUUUUUUAAAGAACAAACUUUUUGUUUUCAAUUUUUUUCAAUUGUUUCUUUUGUUUCAAUGUCAUUGAUUUCAGCUCUGAUUUUAAUUAUUUCCUGUUUCCUACUGCUUUUGGUGUUGAUAUGUUCUUCCUUUCCCAGGGCUUUGAGAUGUAAUGUUAGGUCAUUUUUGUUGACUUUUUUUUUUUUUUACUGCCUUCAUAGUGUCCCAGAAAUUUUGAUGUUGUACAAGUGUUCUCAUUUACCUGUAAGAAUUUUUAAAUCUCCUUUUAGAUGUCUUGUGUAAUCCAUUGUUCAUUCCAUAGCAUAUUGUUUAGUCUCUAGGUAUUGGAGUAGCUUCUAUUUUUUAUUUUAUCAUUGAUUUCUAAUUUCUUUCCAUUAUAAUCUGAUAGAAUGCAGGGUAGUCUCUCUAGUUUUUUGUAUUUGCUAAGAGUCGUUUUGUGGCAUAAUAUAUGGUCUAUUUUAGAGAAGGAUCCAUGUGCUGCUAAGAAGAAAGUGUAUUCACUCAUUGAUGGAUGAAAUAUUGUAUAAUACACUUGUUAAGUCUAAGUUGUUGAUUGUAUUAUUGAGUUCUAUAGUUUCUUUGUUUAUCUUUUGUUUGGAAAUCUAUCCAGUGGUGAGAGAGGUGUGUUAAAGUCACCAGUAUUGUUGUGUUGUGGUCUAUUUGAUUCUUGAACUUGAGAAGAGUAUGUUUGAUGAACAUAGAUGUUCCAUUUGGGGGGCAUAUAUACUUAUAAUUGUUAUGUCUUGUUGAUGUAUGGUUCUCUUGAGCAGUGUAAUAUCCUUCUUUUUUUUUUUUAUUAACUUUGGCUUGAAGUCUAUUUUAUUUGAUAUGAGGAUGGAAACCCCUGCUUGUUUCUGCAAUUCAUGUGAGUGGAAUUUCUUGCCCCAAACUUUCAUCUUUAGUCUGUGGAUGUCUUUUCCUAUGAGAUGAGUCUCUUGAAGGCAGCAUAUUGUUGGGUCUUUUUUUUAAAAAAUCCAAUCUUCCUUCUAUAUCCUUUGAUUGGUGAGUGCAGGCCAUUAACCUUCAGGGUUUUGAUUGAGAUAUGAUUUGUAUUCCCAGUCAUUUUUGUUUAUUUUUGAUAUUAAACUUGACUUGGUUUCUUCUUUUAUUGGGUUUUUCUUUAUGUAAUACCUCUCUUUGCUGAUUGUCAUUGUUGUUUUUCAUCUCCUCCUCAUGGAGUAUUUUGCCAAGGAUUAUCUGUAGUGCAGGCUUUGUAGUUGUAAAUUCUUUUAACUUUUGUUUAUCAUGGAAGGUUUUUAUUUCAUCAUCAAAUCUAAAGCUUAAUUUUGCUGGAUAUAUGAUUCUUGGUUGGGAUCCAUUUUCUUUCAGAGCUUGGUAUAUGUUGUUCCAGCUUUCAGGGUCUAAGUUGAAAAAUCUGCAGAAAUCCUCAUUGAUUUCCCCCUAUAUGUAAUCUAAUUCUUUUCUCUUGUGGCCUUUAAAAUUCUCUCCUUAUUCUAUAUGCUAGGCAUUUUCAUUAUAAUGUGUUUUGGUGUAGAUCUGUUGUGAUUUUGUACAUUUGGUGUCCUGUAAGCCUCUUGUAUUUGAUUUUCUAAUUCAUUCUUCAUGUUUGGAAAAUUUUCUGAUAUUAUUUUAUUGAAUAGGUUGUUCAUUCCUUUGGUUUGUAUCUCUGUGUCUUCCUCCAUACCAAUAAUGCUUAAAUUUGGUCUUUUUAUGUUAUCCCAUAAUUCUUGAAUGUUCUGCUUAUGGUAUUUUACCAUCUCACUGUGUGGUCAACUUUAUUUUCAAGAUUAUAUAUUUUGUUUUCAUUGUCUGAGGUACUGUCUUCCAAGUGAUCUAAUCUGUUGGUGAUGUUUUCUAAUGAGUUCUUAAUUUGGUUUAUUGUUUCCUUCAUUUCAAGGAUUUUUUUAAGAACCUCUAUCUCCUUAUUAAAGUAAUCUUUUGCUUCCUGUAUUUGCUUAUGUAGCUCUUUAUCAAAGUGAUCUUUUGCUGCCUAUAUUUGCUCUUAUAUAUAUCAUCCUUUAAUUCUCAGAUCAUUUUAAUUAUGUACAUCCUGAACUCGUUAUCUGUAAUUUCUUCUUCCAUGCUGGCCAUGGAUUCUAAUAAUGUCAUAUCUUCAUUUGUUUGGGGCACUUUCUUCCCUUGUUUAUUCAUGUUGUUCGUGUCUUCCCUUCUAGCACUUUGGAUCCGAGAUGUUACAGGUUUUUUGUUUUUUUUUUCGUUGUUGAUAGACCUUUUUAUUUUAUUCAUUUACUUAUACGUGGUGCUAAGAAUCGAACCCAGUGCCUCAUACAUAUCAGGCAAGCGCUCUACCACUGAGCCACAAUCCCAGCCCUGAUGUAACAGUUUUUUCCCUAUAGGCUUAUAUUGUCCCUACAGGGUUCUAGUACCUCUCCUUUAAGGGAGAGAACAAUAUUAACAGAUCCCAAUACAGAAAAUAUACAUCCUUAAAGCAAAUAGCUGCUAUUAAGAUGUUUAGGGUUUUGUCACAAUAUGCAGAAAUGGUGAGUUCAAUUAUUAUCUACAAUAUAAACAGUAGGUUUGCAAAAGGGCGUACAGUUUCUGAUGGUGGACAAAGAAAGAACCAGGGAUGGGGUGUAGGAUGGGAGAUUAAGGAGGUAGGAGGUGAGAAUAUAGUUGUUAGAUCUUAGGAAGUGUGAAAGAGGAAUCUAAAGAAGUUGGCUAGUAGCAGGAGAAAAAAGAGAAAGUGAUUUUGGGGAGACAAGUAAGUGGGAAGACAGUAGAGAGAGUACAACAAACAAACAAACAUAAAAAUUAAGAAAAAAAAUGUGGAAAUAGGAGCAAGAAUAUACAACACAACUGUAAUAUACUAUUGAGAUAUCCCAGUCCUCAGUAGCCUAAUUCAUGAAAAGUCCUUAGUUCACAAAUGUUGGGGAUAUGAGUGCGGGAGAAGAGAGAGAGUGAAAAGAAAAGAAGAGAGAGAGAGAGAGAGAGAGAGAGAGAGAGAGAGAACAAAAAGUUCUUGAAGGAAAAUACAAGGAUUGUUUUGUUGGAGUUCAGUAUCUUUCCUGCUUCACUUCUCAUCUAAUAGGUGGAGUUGUCUGUUGAUUACUGGUAUCUCCACCCUCAGAAUAGUGAAGGUUAUUAGGGUGGGAGAGUUGAUCUUGGGGGUGGAGCUCCUGGUUGGGGGCUAUAGCACUUGCUGGUCCCCGAUGGGAGACUGCACCCCAAGGAUCUCCUUUGGGGCCUGCUUGUAUGAUGUGGGCACCUUGUGUUAUCUCCUUGUAUCACCUGUAGACUUUACAAUUCCUAGUCUCUAAUUUAGUCUCUAAACUAUAUCUGACUCACCCCUCCCUUUCUACUUCACAAUCAGGAACCUCUGUCUCUGGAGGGCUUGAGGGCUACACUCUGAGGGCUGUGCAUCUGUCAUGGAGAGCUGUUUUGUAGUGGGCAGGUCAGGGCUAGGUGCAGCCACAAAGCAUUGUGCGAGGGUUAUUGGCUGCAGGGGAUGAGGGGGGUUAGUUGGGGACCAUAGGCACCUUGAUAUUGCUUAUAGACUCCAACUGGUGUCCCAAGCUGGGAGUUUCCCCAACUAAAGAUGGCGACAAAGGUGUCCUAAGAUGGAGGCAGCUGCUUUCAGAAACAGGUGUGGGUUCGGGUCGGGCUGGAUGGUGGCAUUGGCAGUAUGUUCAGAGAUACAGCUCUGUGGCAUGCAGUUUUGUGGCUGGUGGCUGUCUCCAGACCCUGUCCUGUGUCUCCAGGUGCAGGCUACCACAUGUAGGGCACUAUGGUAGUGGUUGCAGUGUCCCAAGUUGGGGCGACCUGGGGAGCCCCAUGUUGAUAGUUGGGGGGUCCCCGCGGAAAUGGUGGCCAUAGGUCUAGUGUAGGCAGGGGCCGGGUAUCCUGAGAGGGAUCGGAGGCCAGGACUCCUGCAUGGGUGGGUGGCCAGGGGUCCUGUGUGGGCCAGCGGCUGGGAGUUCUGCGCUGAUGCUGAGACCUGGAGUGAUAUGUUUUUUUUUUUUUAUUAAUUUUUUUUUACACAAAUGGAACACAACUUUUCAUUUCUUUGGUUGUACAUGCUGUAGAGUCACACCAUUCGUGCAAUCAUACCCAUACAUAGGGGUAAUAAUGCAUCUAAUUCUACCAUCUCCCCCCAACACUCUCCCUCCCUUCCCCUUCCUCUCCUCUCUCCCUUCUACUUAUCCAAAGUUCCUCCAUUCUUCCCUUGUGCAACCCCCACCCCAGCCCAUUAUGGAUCAGUAUCCACUUAUGAGAGAAAACAUUUGGCCUUUGGUUUUUUUUGGAUUGGCUUAUGUUGCUUAGCAUGAUAUUCUCCAACUCUGUCCAUUUACCUGUAAAUGCCAUAAUUUCAUUCCUCAGAUUUUUUUAACAAAAAAUAUUCAACAUAUUUCCAGAAAAAAACACUACAAGAUAACAAAAACACCCAUUCUAAGAAUUUAUCAUUGUGCCUCGAAUUAAGUAGGAAGUUAAGAUUUACAGCCUCAGGAAAAGCAAGAUGACAAUUACAGUAUAAAACUCUCAGAAAUAGGAACUUAAUAGAAAUCUGUACACUUAAGAGGAAAGGAAAAUAUCACAUGAGUUUCCUCUUACAGUGUCAGUAAAUAAUUUAUGAAAGAACACUGAAAACAGAAUUCAGAAAGACUGAAAACACAGCCUUGGAUGUACCUUUCCUGGAAAAACAAUCAUGACCUGUAUACCUGGGUGUAUGUGGGCAUACACACACACACACACACACACACACACACACACCUGCAAUGGUUUUUUCUUUCUUCCUGUAACUUCUGAAAUUACCAAGAGGUCAAAUUUACUUCGCUUCUAAUUCUUUUUGGUCCAUUGUAUCUAAACAACCCUCAUUUUAUCAUUUAUUACCGUAGUCCUUGAUUUAGACAGUUAAAAGGUCUAUAACAUAACUCCAUAAUACAGUUAGAUUUUAUCACAAAUUAUUUUACAAUUUCACAUUUUAUCUCCCCAACUGUGUUGUGAGUUUUUAAAAUAAGAUCUUGAGUAUUACUCUGAUUUUGGGUAUCAGAACUCACUGAUUUAAGAAGUGAUGCAUACUGUAAAUCUUCUAUAAAAACAUGUUUUGUUGAGUGAACUGCUACUUUUAAUGUAUAUAAUUAGUGGUGUUUUUUUUCUACUUUCAGUAUUAACUUAGAGAAAAUUCUCUAUAUUCCUAAAACCAUCUCAAAAUCCCAUUGAUGUUCAAACCACACACAUUGACAUUUUUAUUUGAAAAUUUACCAUGUACUCUUUGGAAAUAACAUGCAUUUAGUUUAUGUAAUGAAUUGUAAAUUACAUUUCCACAUUUAUAUUUCUUGUAGCCAUAUUUUGUAGCCAUAUUUUAUAGCUAUAUUGUGAGCAGUUUGACAAUAGAGAUCCAAGAAAACUUGAAACCUGAGUCAGAGGCCUGACUUAGAACUGUGGUUCAGCCACUGACUGAUUAGGGGUCCUGACACCAUGCCUGGUAGGUGCUCCAUAGAUGUUUGUGGGGUAAAAUAAUAAAUAAACAAAUACUUAAGCCCUCUAUAUCUCAGUGUCUUUAUCUAUUAAAAGGAGUUGCAAUGAAUAAAAUAAAAAAAUAAAAUAAAAUUUAAAAAAGGAGUUGCAAUUAUAUCUAACUUGGAGGAAUGUUGCAAGGAAUAAAAAGCAUAAUAUAUUAAACAUAAUAACCUAUCAGGUAAAAUGUUGAUUUCAGGACAUUCCAUAGGAAUUUGCCUGCUUUUCGUUUUCCCUCAGAUUUAGGGCAUUUUCUUUGUUGGGAUUCCAAAAACAUCUUUCUUUUUCUCUUUAAAAUAAAAUAAACCAAAUUUAUCUUUUAUUUCUCUUCUCACUAUACCCCAUUUAUUGCCAGAGCAUGCUUGUUGGUAUGUUCGCCACUUUAUUGUUAAUGUCCUUCUCUAGAUAUCCAACCACUCCGUGCAUUUUUCAUCUCUAUGAACCAUGUGCCUCUUGCACAGAAUCUGCCUACCCACUUGGGCUUUCUGAGGAUGACUACAUUUAGGUUGCAUACACAUGGGCUAUAUUGCUAAGUCACUGCUGUGAGUCAAUCUCAGGAAAAGAGGAAAUAAUUUCUGCAGCCACCCCACCCUACUCCUAAUGGCAAGAUAAGGAGAGUGAACUUUCCUUUCCUUUGUGGGGGUAUUGGAGGGACACUGGCAGAAACUGGUGGGAAAUUCCUGGGAAGUGCAUUGGUUCCUUAGGGAGGUCUAUUAACUUCUUCAAGAUAAAAGGGCUUCUUCUUAAGAAGUUUUGUGAUAUUCAAGUGCACACAAAUUUUCAAGUACGUAAGGCCACUGAAGAAAAUUGUUAAAAAUUCAGAUUUUUGCAGGAUCCUCCUACAAGAAGAUUCCCUUGUUAGGGGUAGUGCCUAGAAUCUGCAUUUAACAAUCACAACUUUCCCCUCUCCCAUUAUAUUGAUGCAAAUGAUUCUCUGCAAUUCAGGAAGGACUAUUAGUCUACCAAGAAUUGGUCAGCACUAUUCAUGGCAAAGCCAAGUCCAUCCAAAAGCCAAGUAUAAUACUAAUCAGGUUGGCAGGAUGAUAGGUUUCUUGCUCAGUUGGUUUCUUUGGAAACAUUAAUUCUAGUAGAACCAGAGCAAUUAAUAGAUUUAGCCAUUUGGAUCUUCAGUGGUGUAGAUGACGAACUCAAGACCACCCAAAAUUGUGCCUAGUUUUAGGUGACUCACUGUAAGGGUGUUCUAAAAUAUGUUCAGAAAAAGAAGAACCAGAUUUAAGAAAAUAGACAUGAAGAUCAAAGGAAUAGAAGAGAAGACAUAGAGACAGGCCCACAUAAAUGCAGUUAUCUAAUCUUAAGACAAAGGAGACAAAAAUAUAUAUUGGGGAAAAGAUAGCCUCUUCAACAAAAUGGUACUGGUAAAACUGGAAAUUCUUAUGUAGUAGAAUGAAAUUUAACCCCUAUCUCUCAUCCUGCACAAAACUCAACACAAACUGGAUCAAAGACCUAGAAAUUAGACCAGAAACCCUACAUCUGCUAGAAUAAAAUGUAGGCCCAACCUUCCAACAUAUUGGCUCAGGAAUUGAAUUUCUUAACAAGACUCCUAAAGCACGAGAAGUAAAAUUUAAAAAUCAAUUAGUAUCAAAUUGAAAAGCUUCUUCACAGCAAAGGAAACAAUCUAGAUCAUGAAGAGAGACCCUACAGAAUGGGAGAAAAUCUUUGCCACCUGCACGUCAGAGUGUUUAUAUCCAGGAUAUGCAAAGAACUCAAAAUUCUUAACACCAAAAACAAACAAACAAACAAACAAACCAAACAAUAAAUGGGCAAAGGAAUGAAACAGACACUUCUCAAAAGAAGAAAUAAAAACUGUUAACAGAUAUCUGAAAAAAAUUCAAUAUCUCUAGCAAUUAGAGAAAUGCAAAUUAAAACUACAUGGAGAUUUCAUCUCACUGCAAUCAGAAUGGCAAUUAUCAAGAAUACAAGUAACAAUAUAUAUUGCUGGUGGGACUACAAAUUGGUGAAACCAUUCUGGAAAGCAAUAUGGAGAUUCCUCAGAAAAUUUGGAAUGGAACCACCAUUUGACCCAGUUAUUCCACUCUUUGAUACAUAUCCAAAGGAUUUAAAAUCAGCAUACAACAGGGACACAGUCACAUCAAUGUUUAUAGCAGCACAAUUCACAAUAGCUAAGCUAUGGAUCCAACAUAGGUGCCUUUCAACAUUGGAAUGGAUAAAGAAAAUGUGCCAUAUAUGCACAAUGGAGUGCUACUCAGCCAUAAAGAAGAAUGACUUUACAUCAUUUUCUUGCAAAUGGAUGGAUCUGAAGAUCACCAUGCUAAGUGAAAUAAGCCAAUUCCUCAUGCUUUCAAAAAAACCAAAACCAAAACAAAACCCACAAUGGUCAAAUGUUUUCUCUGAUAUGUGGAAGCUAACCCACAAUAAGGGGUGGGGAAUAAAUAUUCAGUAGAUUAGAUGAAGGGGAAUGAAGGGAAGGGAUGGGGAUAGGAAAAGGAAAGACAGUGGAAUUAAUUUGAAAUAACUUUCUUAUGUAUAUAUAUGAAUGGUGAGUGAAUCUCACCAUUGUGUACAUCCACAAGAAAUUAAUUUAAAAAAAAAACUAUGGACAAAUGGCAGAAAGAUCAAUAGAGGGAAGGGAGCAGGAGGUGAGGGGAGGAAAGGGGAAGGAGAGGUACUGGGGUCUAUAUUAGAACAAGAUAUACUCCAUGCUUGUAUAAUUAUGCCGAAAUGGACUCUAAAAAGAAUCAACUAAAAAGAAUCAAUUAAAAAAUGACAUGUAUAAAGAAGGUGAAAGAUAAAAACUCGGAAGUCCAUGGGGAAAAGGGCCAUCUUCAUAUAGCUGAAUGUCACCAGCCAGAGAGGUUCGCAUUCAUGUAUGUGGCUCCAAAGGCAAAGCACAUCUAUCCCAGCAAUCUGUCCCAAUCUACACCCCACCACACUGUGCAUCUAGCUCAGUGAAUUGUCUCACAAACAUCACUAGGAUGCAAAUGACAAAUCCACCCAGACAGGUAGCACUGGACAAAUGAUAAGCCCAGUCACUCUGGCCUUGAAGAAGAAUAACCGGACAAGUAAUUUUUAGAAUCAAUAAACUCCCAUGGAGACCAGCACCAUACUCUGUAGAAAGUAGAGACACACUUUUAUCACAGCAACCCUGCAAGUCUGUGGCCCACUCCACUGCCACUGUCCCCGCCACCCUCCUCCCCAGCCCAAUGCCUCUUUGCAUCAUAAAGAAAGGAGGAAAGGCAUAAGAAAGAGAGAGGGAGGAAAAGUUCUUCUCUUUUUUGUCUAUUUAAGCCAUCCUUGGUCCUUGGGACCAAAGUCUUUUCUUGAGGGAUCAUUCCCAAGAUUUGAACCUAUGUCCAUAAACUGCCGCCAAUGUGCCCAGCACCACUUCUGCUUUGUGGUGACCAUCUCUCACUGCAUGCUUCUCAUGACUCCCCCAACAUGGUCCUGGCCUUGUUGCCUACCUCAUGAAUAUUAGGCUCUCUGUGCCUUUCAUUAGGUUCAUCUGAUUAAUCCAUCCAUGGAACUAUACUUUGAACAGAGGUCCUUACUCUCUAGAGAUUACAAGAGUAUUUGCACCAUUCUUUCAGAGAAAAGGCCAGUGAUUUUGUUGUCUUCCCAAAGGAGUGAGUCUUUUGGCAUCUCAACAUAGGCAGGCUAACCUCUGGGUUGCACAGAAGUCUCCUGAGUGAGAAGUGGUAGAAGACAGAAUAUAAGAACUUUGGCUCUCCCACUAAGAAGACUGUGUUCCAAUCCUGAACUUGCUGAUUAAUGGAUAUGUGUACUUCAGCAAAUCAUUUACUUUCCCCAAGUUUCCUUUUAUAUAGGAUGAAAUGAUAAUUCUUAUUAUCAUUUUCAUCCUAUAUAAAAGGAAAUUGAAUCAUGCAUCACAUUUGGCAUACUGCUGGGUAUAUAGUAAGCACUCACAAGUGUUUACUGGUCUCAUUCUUUUCAUGAUUACGUAUGUCCCAUUUCACUAUGAAUCAUAGGAAUAGCAACAUAUCUGAUACUAUGACCCACCCAGCAUGGAUCUUUCUCAGGAAGUGUUUUUACUUUAACAUUUCUGCUGGUUGCUGGAAGCCAGAGAUCUUGACAUUUGAUUCUUCUGGACAAUACACAGAUUGUGAAUGAUGGAUUUGAGCUUUUCUUAAUUUUUUAGUUGGCUCAAUCUUGUUUGAACAACUUGGAAAAUCAUAGAGAUACUCGGAGUUGAACAUUUGUUUGUUGAAGUUUUACUUAAUCUUCUUAAGAGAACUAUAGUGCCAGAUAAAUAACUCCAGAAUAGGAAGGUUUCAUUCUUUCAUAAUAGAGAAAUCAUCUCAGUAUGUGAAUUUGGAAUCCUAGUAGCUUUUAACUCUCUUUCUUCUCCUCUGUUUUCUUUUAUUUUAGGAAUGAUUUCAUUUGUAAAAUUAUCAGUAUGGAAAUAAUGCUUAUUACUAUUAUAAGAAAACUGAGCCAAUCACAACAUAUAUAGGUAAAAACAGAAGUUCUGCUUCUUGUGUAUUUCCCUUUAAACUUUUAUAUGAAGUCAUGUACAGAAAUAAACACAUUUAUUUUUGCAGAGUAAUGGGGUAAUGAUCUAGACACUUUGGUAGACACUACUAAUUGCCUAUCCAAUAUCUAUCUUCUUUUAUUUUUUUAAUGUAUAUUUUUUAGUUGUCAAUGGACCUUUAUUUUAUUUAUUUAUAUGUGGUGCUAAGAAUCGAACCCAGUGCCUCGCACAUGGCUAGGCAAGUGCUCCUACCACUUAGCUACAACCCCAGAUUUCUUUUCUUUUCUUUUUUAAAGUAUUUUUUAGCUAUAGAUGGACACAUAUCUUUAUUUUGUUUAUUUAUUUUUAUGCAGUGCUGAGGAUCGAACCCAGUGCCUCACAUGUGUGAGGCAGGCACUCUGCCACUAAGCUACAGCCCCAGCCCUUAUUUUUUUUUUUAUUAAUAGAAUCUACAAUUUUGUUCCAAGCAGCCAUGUACCCAAUUCAAAAAUCUGCUUUUCCUCACCUUCAUUAUAAUGAGGGAUACUCCAGUGUUAUAGUUCCAGCUAAUGAGAUGGAAGCAAAAUUCUGCUGAGAAUUUCUAAAAGUUUUGCUCUGCUGAUGUAAGCAAGCACCAUUCCUGCCUCUCCACCUUUCCUCUGUCCUGACUGGAAAGAGAAUGAAAGCCUGGAGAAGGAAUCCUGUGACUAUGAGGUGACAGUGAUGACCAACUCUCCCCAUCCAGGACCACAGAAGGGAAGUAGAUCUCUGAGAGAGUCUGUAGUGCUCUGUAUCAAGUGCUCCUCGAGUUUCUGCCCUUUGAUUCUUGUUAUGAGAGAAAUAUAAGUCUUACCAGCUUAAAGCAGUGUCACAAUUCGAUUAUAGCUGUGUUGACAUAUUGAUCCUUUCAGUCUUAUGAGUUGAGUACAGAAGGAAGGGUGAGGAGUCCUGCUAGGAGAGGCCCUUGGUUAAUUGCUUUGGGCCACAAAUAGACCUUAUUUUUCACAUUUUAUACAAACAUUAUAAUUUUCAAUGCAUAUCAUGACCUGAAAAAGAAAUUAUAUCUUCAUAUGUAGAUUUCCAUAACAUUUGAAUCAAUUCUGAUUGUUACAUCCAUUGGUUCUCAUUUUCCUUUUUAUACCACAGUACCUUGAGUAUCCAUUCAUUUAUAUUUCCUUCAAAACAGCAGUAUAGUUCUCUAAGCCAUGAAUAUAGUAUGGCGUUCUCUUCUUAAAGGUUUUUUCAUUUCCUGUCUCUCUCUCAUUCUUUCUAUCUCUGUCUCUGUCUGUUUCUCUCGUUCUCUCCCCCUUCUCCACUCCCUGAUCUCUAUGUUCAAAUAGUACUGCACUGAAUAUCUCUGUGAAUAUUUGUACGCUUUUAUAAAGAAUAUUCCCUCAGAAAAAAAUCACAAAACAUGAAUUUCUCAUUGAAGGAUAUGUGUAUUUAAAAUGUUAGCUCACCACUGACAUAAUGAAAUUCCUUUCAAACUGUGAUACCGAUAUAUAUUUCUACCACUCAUGUAUAAGCUGCCUGUUUUCUCAACUCUAACUCCUAUGGAGUAUAAUCCAUCUUUUUAUUUUGUAUAAAUCUUAGUUUUCUGCCUUACCUUCUUUGGCCUGGGAGUUGGAUGCCGAGAUGGAGAGGUACAAAAUUUUCAGUUCAGUCACACGACUGAGACUUGAAUCCUGGAAAAAGCCUCAUCAUGAAGCAAUGUCUCCUGGACUCCUUCUGUGGCUCUAUAUGUACCACCCACUUCUACUCUUUGAGAGGCCUUGGGAAGAUGCACUUUAUAUCUCUGGAGAAAACUGUCAACUAUGGCUUACAACAUGAGGUGUUGGUGAGGACUGGAGAAAUGGGUUCUCUCUUACAAUGCUGUCAUUUAUGUUAAUUGGUAUAAACCAUUUUAGAAAAGUAAUUCAGUAAUGUGAAUCGAACAUCUAAAAGUGUAUUCACUCUCUGUCCCAACAUUUUUAAAGAGUCCUGAUAGGUAUAAUAUCGAAUAUUUAUUUAUAAGGAUGUUUGCUGCAAUAUUAUACAGAAUAGAAAAAAUUCUGGGAAAACAAAUAGAAAUUAUCUUUGUUAAAUAGUCUAUUUGAUGCCCGUAUAUUUGAAUAGUAUUUACUUAGUUAUUUAAAAUGCCAUAUUAAAGUAGAAAUUGUUAGUUAGCUUUGCUUCACUAUGAUCAAAGUACCUGAAAAGAACAACUUAGAAGAGGAAAGACUUAUUUUGGCUCAUGGUUUCAGAGGAUUCAGCCCCUGGUCAGCUGACUCCAAGACAGAAACAUCAUGGUGGACAUGUGGGCAGAGGAAAGUUUCUCAGGGUAUGGUAGCGAGGGAGCAGAGAGAGAAAGAGAGAGGAAAGGAUCAGGGAUAAGUUAAUCCUUCCUGGGCAUGCCUCCACCAGCUUACUUCAUCCAGUUAGGUCCCACCUCCAAGUAGUUCAUCCAAUCAAUGGAUUAAUCUAGUCACUGCCUAAAAGCCUCAACUCUGAACUUGGCUGCAUUGGAGACCAUGUUUUCAACAGAUGAGCAUUUGGGGGACAUUCCAGAUCUAAAGCAUAACAGAAAUUUAUUUGAGAAAUGUUAAGAGACAAAAGAAGAUACAAAAGAAUAUGUGUAAUAUGAUCCCCAUUUUGAAGUACUUGUGGAAGAUAUUUACACCAAAAUAUUCAUGGCAAUUAUCAAAGAUGGUUGAGAUCAUGAAUUUUUUUUAAAAAAUCUAAAUUUGUUCUAAUUAGUUACAGAUGACAGUAGAAUAAAUGUUGAAACAUUAUACACAAAUGGAGCACAACUUCUCCUUCCUCUGGCUGAACAUGGUGUAGAGUCAUAUCACUAGAGUAAUGCAGAAGGGAGUGAGGGGAGGUGAGAUCAUGAAUUUUUAUUGAUUUUCUUUGUCCUUAUUUGGUAGUUUAAAUUUAUGUAUUUUAAGUAGUUAUUCUUAAAUAUAAAUUAAUUAAAUAAUGUUAAAUAAAAAUAAAAUAGUAGUGAUCUGCAUUUAGAUUUCCUGUGAAA
rnacentral:lncRNA from 1 species